rnacentral:lncRNA from 1 species
UGUAUGUUAUCUGUUGAUCUCGAAACCUUGAUAUUGUGCUUCUGAGUGGUUAUGCCACCAUUUUGUGAAUGUCUCAAAUCUUUUCUGAGCAUUUACAGCCGUUAUGUUGUCCGAGUCAUCCCAGGUUUCUAAACAAUCUGAUGCAUUUGCAAAAUCCUUUCCCUCUGGUUUCGAUGUUCCUUUAUGCCAGCUCAAUCACACUAAUUGUUGAGUUGAGGUAUUCUAUUGCCUUGACAUUCAUGUUGGAGUUAUUAUUAUGACCCUAGGUGCCUUAGGGGAUCAUCUAGUAGUCUAGCCAUGUUUUGUGUUCCCAGCGUGAUGAUUCUGGCCUUUAUUCUCGAAAGCAUCCCGUGAUGCCACUUAGUAGUAGGUAUUCUACUCCUGGGUUCUGAACCCGAGAUUCACCCUACUUACCUCAUGUUGAUAGUGUUUGCUCGUUCCUUUAGGUUAUUAGUAACUUUGCGAUAGUCCUCGAAGUUCGUGGUAUUUCCUUCUUCCAAAUACUAUGAACCACUUUAUGGCAGAUAUUUAUUGGAUCAAAAGAUCACAAUUAGAGUACUCUUGAGGAGUUCUCCAUUCAUAAAUCGUGACUCUGCCAGUCCUACCUCUCUGCAUGGGUUAUCCGAAAGAAACAUGUUGAACUUGGUUCGGCAUACUAAUCUAUGCAUCCACAACUCAAAAAGUUAUAUGUUCCUUUGAGUUGUCCCUCUUUAGUUGUCUACUGACCUUCGUCUAUCAAUUGAUAGUCAAGAGUAUGCAUGCAUUCGUUUAUCGAUGCCUAUUACUCUUGUGGUCCGUCAAGCCAUUCUAUCGCGGAAUGACUAGGAGAAACAAACUCCAGUACCCCUUCCAUAUCCAGGAUUGGGUCAAAGAAGUUGUGCUCCGCAGAACAAAUUGCUAAUCCAGCUUUUGCUCUGUUCUACCUUGGAGUAUUACCAUAUUUUAUAUCGGGAUUGUUAUAGGAAUUGCACACCAUCCUAUAAAUUCUUAGUGCAGUGAUACUUCCCUCCAUCAUUAUUCAUUUCUCGGUUCCCGUGUUGUUAUAACCGGAUUGUCGACAAGUGAAUCGUGAUGUGUGAAAUCAAUACUCCUAGCAACUUGUUGUUGGUAGUUAAAGGACGAUAACCUCAUUCUUAGCGUGUUGAUUAUUGAAUCGUCACCCAAAGACUGAUUGUGCUACCUAGUCCCUAUUUCUGGUGCACUCUUCGACCCAUGAGUUAGGAAUUAUCUCAAGUCCUCACUCAUUUGAUCAUGUCGUCUUGCCCUCAAAAGCAAGAUUAUUCUCGAGCUUAGUAACAUACAGGUGGUUCGUGACUUUGCAAAUAUCUUCUUGGAAGUGUUACCGGGUUGUUUCCUGACUGUUAUGUUGAGCUCGUGAUCAAGUUGGUUUAUUCCUGUAAACCACCCCUUCUCCAAGAAUCUGUGUUGGAUACCCUGAGCUAGUUGGAUAAGCUAAACAACAACUUGGAGAGUUGGAAGAUAAAAGCUUGUCCGACUUAGUUCAUGUUAAGGGAUAUCUUUUUGUGUGUGUGUGUGUUGAAGAAAGAUGAUAUCUUCAUCGAUUGGUCCCUGUGAUCAGUUGCUGGACCUAUGGUCUUAUCAAAAACUUUGAUUUAAGUAUGGGCUAUCGUCAAAUCAAAUCAGAACCAACGAUGUUCGUAAUGUUGUCUUACUCGUGGCUGUCCCUCGAGCAUACACCAUUAUAUCUUUUGCUCUGACCAAUACUAUCACCUUGUUCACAUGAUGGUGGAAGUCCAGUGAUAUGGAAAUUCCGAUGAGUUGUUGUUGAGCCCAUCAGUAGCAUUUUGUCUCCCCCGUGAUUCAUGUUGAACAUCAACCUAGUGUUGGAAACUUUGUAAGCAAUGCCUUCGUGUUCCGUUCAUGAAGCAUAUGUUUGGAUGAAAGAAGUGACUUCCUUUGAUUCACGUGCAUUUGAUGUAAGUUGCCGUCGUGAAUUCGAGAAAGUUUGUUUCUGCUCCUCUGGAACCAUCCCAAGUCAGCCAUGCAUGUGCGAAGUAUUCUAUGGUCUGAUAGACUGAUCAUCUUCAUUCCAUAUGUAUCCCUAGCACACCAAGCCACUGACUGAUUUGUUCAAGGAGAAGGAGUAUCUUCAUAAGAGCUAAUCCGGACUUAUGAAAGAACUUCGAUAUCCUCGAUGAUGGGUCCCAACCUGAACUCGGUAGUGUUUUAUUGUAAGACUACCAUGUGAUCAUGUUUGCCUGGAACAGCGUGUUCACACGUGCGUAGCAGAACCAGCUCAUGCUUUGGAGUUUGCUAUCGUAGUUCAUUUCCCGAGAAUCUCGCAACGUUAUCUCGUCGAAUUGUGUUGCAAACUUUCAUUUUUCUUCCUAGACUCGAUGAGUCUGGAAUAUCCUGACACCAACCAGAUCUGAAUCUCAGGCAGACUUGAUGGUUGGAAUGUUUCCCAAGAACUACAAUAUUGGUCCCUCUAUAACCGGUAAAGUGGAUGUCGUGGCCAACACAUCUAGCCGGAAGACCCAUUAUUGUAGGCUCUUGAUUGAGAAAGUUGGCCACCUCCCCAUAGGGAUUUCGUAGGAUUUACUCCCUAGUUGCCCCUAUGGAUUUCUGUGUUCCGAAGUCCGACCUUUUUACUUGAUGUUCUAGAUAUCAAACCAUAUCUAUGAAUGGGUUACACUAGCACAUCAAGGAGAACAUUAGAAGCGGAGUGCUAAAUGUCUCUCGGUCGAUCAUCCAGAUUUUAUUUCCUUGGCCCCGCCAAGGGUGAAAUCUGAGAAAGUGUUAUCUCUCCUUGUAUCUGCAUCGUCCAUCGCUAUUCAUCAUGGUAGUAUGUUGUGUUGUCAGCACCCUUGACACGGAUGUUGAUAAAACCUUGAUGAUUGUGGAAAUGCUCAAGUUCUUAAGAGCACGCACAAGCGUUAGGUGUUACCAUCGGCACUAACUAGGUUUGCUCUCAACUUCCUUGGUUAUGCUAUAACUUCUCAAACAGUGGAUUCACUCUCUAUUGUUGGGUUCUUCCCCAGUUACCAGAAUCAUUCCCAGCAUUUGCAUUUUGUUCCCAGCUUGCACCGCCAAUGUGCCAUUCUACCAUGGGUCUCUUCCAUUUCCGGUGAUAAGCAAAUUCAUCCAUUACGUUGUCUUCAACAAGGUAAUCCACAUCAUCCAAGUCCGAGUAUGCCAUUCUACCGAACCCUCCAAACGAUCACUCAAGAAUUACCUUAGGUUGGUAUAAAGAGUUUCAAUGAUCUCGGAAUCAAAAGUAAUUCUUUUUGCCACCUAAGGGGAUAUAUCUACGAGUCACCAUCCCUAAGGUGUCUCGUUGUGGUAUCAUGGCAACUCAACUCCUCGCUACGCUGACAACCGUUUACCACCCUCGUAAGUGUGGAAUUGUAGUCUACCUGGUAAACCUCCGUCAUUUGUUCCACUCCAUUUCCUCAUAUGUAUGCUUCGUGUCUCAGCUAGAGAGAUGUGACAAUGUCUCAUCCCAUGAGUUGAUCCUGAGUUGUUCGGUCUUCGAGAAGAUAGAUUCUUCUAGAGUUUUCCUUCCUCUUCUUGUCAUGAUUAGCUAGAGUUCUCAGAGCAAGACAUCAAGACAAUGAUGGUGAUCGAAUCAAUGUUCUUAUGAAGGGCAACCUGGAUCGUGAAGAUUGAGCUAGUUUGUGUUCCCCCUUCACCUUACCCUACGCUUGAAUCUCGGGACGAGAUUUUUGUUUAGUGGGGGUGAGUUGUCACAUCCCUGGUCCUGUUAUGCACUAGGCUAGACCUCAUGUGAGCAUCAUGUUUUAAUUCAAAUGAAAUUUGAAUUGAGGGAUUUUCAAAGCCUCAGAAACUUUCUAAAAAUGAUCAACAUUAAAAUCUUCUCAAAGAAGUCCAAGAAAUGUUCCUCUUAGUCUCUGAAAAUAUUGCAAAGAGGUAAAACUCAAAACAAUAUUUUUGGUAUCUCAGAGUUAAUUAUUUUGGGCCUUUGAAUUAAAUAAAUAACUAUUUGCAUUGGAUAUAUAUUUCUUAAUUAAUUAAUAUAUGUCCAAUAAUUCUGAUCUUUGAUGAAGGGCUUUGGAAUAAUCCUACUAGUCCCUACCAUAAUUAUCAGAAGCAAUAAAAAUGAUUUAGUGUCUAAAACUAAAUCAAAACAAACUACAGAAAAUAGAAAACAAAAUUAAAUAGAAAUAAAAGAGAGAGAGAGAAGGAACUUACCUGACGCUUACCUGAGGCCCACUCACCUGUGCGGCCUGCUGCAGAAGCCGGCCCAGCCCAUCUCCACUCCCCCCUGUCGUCUUCCUCGCGCCAGUAGGCAGCGCGCGUGGCCGACGCACGCCGGCACGCGCUCGGCCACCUCCUGCCUCCCUGCUUGCCUCCGCUACUCCCUGGAGACGCCACGUGGCCCCCUCGACCCUCUCUCACUCUCCCGUGUCUCUCCCUCCGUCCCUAUCCCCCUCUGCUCCCUCUCCCUUCCGCGACCGAACGGAGCCCGUCGCCGCCGACCAGCGCUCGCGCGGCCGCAGCCGUCCCGAAGCCUCUCCGACACGCCCUCGAGCUCCGCCGGUCCUCCCUCGUCCUCCUCGUCGUCUCACGCCACCAGAAGAGCCCCGGAACGCCGCCCCCGACGUUUUCCCCCUCCUCGGCCGCCGGAGAUCCGCCUCACCGUCCCGCUCGCUCCGACGCUUCCCCGGCCCCGUCGUCUGCACCGGCCAACUCCCCGUGAGCUCCUCUUCCUUCUCCCCCUUUCCGUUCUCUCGUUUGCACGCCGUAGUUGCCGCCUUGCCAACGAUCGAAAACCGCCGCCGCCCUCGCUCGUCGCCGGUGAAGCCUCGGUGACCUUUUGGUCCCGUGCGUGCGCCCGUUGUGCUCGCAACGUUCCGUAGAGCAGAACUAGCGUGACAGCCGGCUCGUUUGCAAGCCGCAGCGCCAACCCCGCACCCACCCGUAGCUCCGGCCGCCGCCACGAGCUCGACUCCGGUGAGCAUGAUCCACCCCAGCCCCUCCCAUUUGCCUCUAUGGAUGCGCAAGAGCGAGGGCUAUGCCCUGGUGCCCUCAGCGCGCGAAUCCGAUGCCCUAGCGCAAGUCCGGCGUGCCCCCGCCGUGCUCUGUGGUCGUCGCCGGCAAAACUCCGGCGGGAGCUGACGUGGCUCCGUCAUUAGGAGCUAACCCAACUAACUAAACAACCUACAGCCACUGACAGUAGGCCCCACCCCUGGUCAAACCCCAGUCAGCGCUGGGUUUGACCGGGAUUAGUUCCUGUGUCACUGACGUGUGGACCCCGCACGUCAGGUUUGACCUGGACCUGGCCGUUGACUCGCUGACGUCAUGCUGGCGUCAGGCUGACGCAGUUAAAUCAUUUUCUGGAUUUAUUAUUAUUCAGGAAAUUCCAUAAAAUUGUAUAAACUUCUAAAAAUCAUAGAAAUUCAACCGUAACUCCAAAUUAAAUAAAUUAUAUAUGAAAAAUUAUCAGAAAAAUCCAAUCUAUCCAUCUGUACCAUUUUCAUGCAUGUUAGAACAACUUAUGACCACUGUUUUGGACAAAACAAAUAAAGGGCAUUUAAAUAAUCAUAUAUGGAGUUGGAGUUUGAAUCAUGUAUUCAAACCAACUUCAUUUAAACCAUAACUAGGUGCAUUAGCCCAAAACACAUUCAUAUUGCCAUGUCAUAGCAUGCAUCAUAUUGUGCAUUGCAUUGAUCGUGUUUCCUCUGUGUUUGCCGGUGUUGUUCCCCCUCGAUAGACGUUGUACCGAUGAUGUGAUCGUUGACACUGAUGAAGACUCAAUGUUAUCUUCAGAAGUGCCAGGCAAGCAAAAACCCCUUGUUCAUUCCGAUAAAAUCCCACUCUCUCGCUCCUGCUCUCUUUUACUGCAUUAGGACAACAACGACAUAUUUGUUACUUGCUGCGGUAGUUGAACCCCUUUAUCCUCUGCAUGACCUGUCAUUGCCACAGUAAAUAGAUGAAACCCACUAGCAUGAGUAGGAGUUCUUUGAGCCCUGUUGUGCCUACUCAUUCAUGCUUGUUUGUCAUGCCUGCUACUGCUUAGAGUUGAGUCAGGUCUGAUUCAUCGGGGAUGAAUCAGAGGCGUGUGAACAUGUCCUACUGUGUGUGAGCUAAGUGUGUGAACACGAUUUGGUAAAGGUAGCGGUGAGAGGCCAUGUAGGAGUACAUGGUGGGUUGUCUCAUUGCAGCCGUCCUCAGGAACUGAGUUCUGUGUUUGUGAUCCAUGACCAGCUACUACCACACAUUGGAAUGCUUAAGUGCCCCUCUCGACUUAUUAAUCAACUUGAUCUCUGUCCAGGAGUUGCAACUAGUUUCUGGUGUUUGUAGGUAGUGUUAGUAGUCUACCAAGUGGCACCCGGUACAGGUGGGCUUGGGACAGACUAGGCACAGUGGCAUGGUGUACCAAGUGGCACCCGGAUGGUGGGCUUGGGAACCCUGCUCACAUCGUUUGGGGCCGUGAGCGACACCCCGGCCGGAUCUCCUUGCGGAUGGAACCCGAAUAGGCGAUAAAACUGGACUAGAGACUUGUUCGGUUAGUCAGGUCGUGGCCGACUCCCUCGCCCGGCUUCCGCUUGAAGGUUGCCGAGGUACAUGACGUGUACAGGGCGAUAAGUGGCGAGAGCGUGUGUGAAGAAGUACACCCCUGCAGGGUUAACAUCAUCUAUUCGAAUAGCCGGAUUCCUCGGAUAUGGAAACUUGGACCCCUUGUACAGUUCAUAGACAAGUGAAAGUGGAUACUCUAAAAUACGCAAGAUAAGCGUGAGUGCUAUGGAUGGCGUUCUCGUAGGGAGACGGGAGCGGUUCCAUGGUGGUGUAUUGGUUGGUGAAUAUGUGGACUCGUGUGCGCCACCUCAAAAGAGUUACUUGCAGUCGUAGUUUAGGAUAGCCACCGAGUCAAAGCUGGCUUGCUGUAGUUAAACCCCACCAUCCCCUUUGUUGAUAAUGAUGCAUAUGUAGAUAGUUCUGAUGUAAGUCUUGCUGGGUACAUUUGUACUCACGUUUGCCUAUUUUAUGUUUUUGCAGAGAGACUUCAGUCUCACUAGUAGUUCCGCUUGGACUUCGACGUUUAGCUUGUUACCUCAGCUACGAUCUUGUGCCCUCGGCAGGAUCUGGUAGAUAGUCAGGCUUUCAGCCUUUUUCAUUUAUAGAUGUCUGUACUCAGACGUGAUAGCUUCCGCUUGUGUUUUGACUUGUAUGCUCUGAAUGUUGGGUCAUGAGACCUAUGUUUGUAAUAUCUCGCUCCUCGGAGCCUAUUGAAUAAAUACUUGAGUCGUAGAGUCAUGUUGUGAUGCCAUGUUGUAUUUGCACAUAUCGAGCAUAUUGUGUGUAUGUUAUUGAAAUGCUUGGUAUGUGUGGGAUCUGACUAUCUAGUUGUUUAUCCUUAGUAGCCUCUCUUACCGGGAAAUGUCUCCUAGUGUUUCCACCGAGCCAUGGUAGCUUGCUACUGCUCCGGAACAUUUAGGCUGGCCGGCAUGUGUCCUUCUUCGUUCCUGUGUCUGUCCCCACGGGGAAAUGUCACGCGAGGAAUUCCGGAGUCCUGUUAGCCCGCUACAGCCCGGUUCACCGGAGUCCUGCUAGCCCAGUGCUACAGCCUGGAUUCACUCGAUGAUGGCCGACACGUUCGAUGCUGGGUCAUGGAUGCUUGUCCCUGUAAGUUUGUGCCACUUUGGGUUCACGACUAGCCAUGUCAGCCCGGGCUCCUUAUCAUAUGGAUGCUAGCGACACUAUCAUAUACGUGUGCCAAAAGACGCAAACGGUCCCGGGCAAAGGUAAGGCGACACCCGUGGGAAUACCGUGCGUGAGGCCGCAAAGUGAUAUGAGGUGUUACAUGCUAGACCGAUGAGGCAUUGAGUCGGGGUCCUGACACCUAAGCUCCGCUUCCUCCACGCUUUGACAGGCAUCAAUGAAAUCCCACGACCAAAUUUAUACUAAAAAUAUCAAUAUCUACAAUACUGAUUAUAAUGAGUAUAAGAACUAUGUUUUAUAAUGAGUGUAAAAAUAUUGAUUUGACAUUGUGAAUGUAGACACAUUUUUCUAUAAGUCUGGUGAAAGUAGAGGUACAUUGACUUCAGACAAAACUUAAAUGCACAAUGCAGACUAGUUCCUCCAUCCAGGUGCGUUCCAUGUCCUAUCUUGUCAUCACAACAAGGUUAGCUAUUAGAGUACCACUACCUCCCUUCUAGUAUAAAGGGCUCGAUUCAAAAAUUUCACCUACUCCUAGCAAGAUAGUAGAGGCGGUGGAAUAGUUUUUGAAGUCUGCAAAAGUACUCAACUAGUGUUUUCAUUCUUCACAAAAAACUGUGUUUACCAAUGCACGCAUGAACACUAGUUACUCUAACCCCCCUCUCUUCUUUAAUUCUUUGCCACAUCAGCAUGUUUGCUAUUCCCGUGUGCAUGAUACCAGCUAAGAUACCACCAUUAUGGCCAGCCUUAAUCAUCGCAUGCAAUAAUUUAGUGCACCCUGAAAUAUGAACAUGUGUGGGGCAUGUAUGUUCUUAAUGACUUGAGACUAUACCUAGCCUGGCAUGCAACAUGACUUAUUAUGCACCGUUCCCCAUACGUGCAAGAAGCCCGUUCAUCUCCAAAUCUUUUCCUCUCCAUGUAUGGAAACAAUAUGCCUGCCAAACUCUCCUUCUCCCUCUGGCAGUCCCACCACUCCACCCCAUGUGAAAAAAUCUGCAUGCAUGACUCUCCUCCCCCCACGCUCGUCCAAUCCGUUGUGACCAGCAAUAUUUCCACCCCUUCGCUCCCCCGUAAUUUACUCCAACAAAUAUUCCCACGUAGUUGUUACUUAACUACAGGUGCAUUGGGUCACUGACAUGUGGGCCCAGCAGGGGUCUGGCCCACAUGUCAGUGACACAACUGGACCUGCAGUUAAGUCAGUGCAGCUCAGUCCAUAUCUUACAUAGGUGUGCCAUUGCUCGAUAUAAAUACUGCGCCUCCCACGACAUCGCUAUCUCCUCCCCCUCACAUUCACGUCCAUCGCUAUCUCCUCCCCCUCCCUCUCACGUCGAUCCUCCAGCGACUCUAGCAUGGUGAACGGGUAGCAUGCCUCAUACUUGAUGUUCUCUGCCAAGGGCCAGCUGUGACUGCUGCACGCAUCCGUGAGGUGAUGCACCAUGUCCGCCGGCGAGCCACAAAACGUCAUCGGGCACUCAUAGCAGUGGACGAAGGGCUCCUUGGAGGCAUCGACCAGCCGUCCAUGAAACGGGAGUGGCUGUAGGGGACGUUGCGCCAGUUGAAUAUAUGAGCAAGUUACUACGAGAUUUAAUCUGAAUAAGCACAAAAUAAAUCAUGAAUUCUACCACGAUUUCGAACCGGAAGGACAGAAACACAUACGGUGCAACGGGAGCAGCACCGUUGGCGUUGAGGUUGUCGCCCAUGUCCAAACACCACGUAGACACGGUCUUUGAGCACGGUUCGUAGUCGUUCCACACUCGGGCAUUGAAGUUUGUAACUAUUUUAGAUUAGAAUAUACUACUCCUCCGGUGCUAGUAGUAGAGCAGAGUCCUACUCUACUACUCUACUCAAGCAAGUUAGGGCAUAGCACUAUAGGGAGUACCAGUACUAUGAUCACUCAAGCAAGUUGUCUAGCAUCGACAUGACCCUACGCUGCUGGUAUGUGUCUCGUAAGUCAAGCGGCGUGCUAUAGUCAUCAUCACCUGUCCACUUCCCGCAGCACAUAUUCGCUUCUCCAUCUUUGUCCGCACAUAAUCUCAUCCAAUCUUCCAUCCCCGCUAAGGCGCCUCCCCCUUGUCCGAAACCCAAGCACUAACAAUGGCAGAACCGAGCAGCGUCCUCCGAAAGAGUGGCUGGAAUUCGCUCCCCACAGAGGUAAUCAAGCUCAUUGUUUCGCUGUGGAUAAUCUCAGUACCAUGCCGCUCGCCGCGUGCUUGUCGGGGCUGUACCGUUUACUCAAAGCCCUUAGGCCGGAGCUUUUUAAGCCAUCUCCUUGCUUGUUGAUGCCGCCUGAUCAUCAAAAACGGUGUGUCACGCAGCAUAACGAUCGUAGGGUGGCGAGCAUCAACCCCCUUGACUGCGAUCCGAUCCCCGUCAGCCUCAACUACAUUAACGGUAUGUACUGGGUCGACAUGAACAUGUCUUGGAUGGUGCUCGUCGACGGUCGCGGCCGCUGGAUGCUCGUGGAGGUCUACACCCGGCGAUUGAUCCCCCUUCCUUCGAUUAACACUGCACUGCUUUGGCACCGCGGCCCAGAAUACUCGGAAUCUUAUAGUAGCCAACAUGAUACCAAGUUUGAUUUGCUCAAGGUUGUAAUCUGCCAAGUGCCCACAAGAUCUGCGAAUUGUAAAGACUUCAGGCUAAUUGCGUUCUUCAACUGCGGUCUCGCCUAUCUGACAGGUCACUGCGGUAAGUGGAUAAAUCUGCACGUCCAUUGCAGGAUCAUACAUCCUCCAUGGUUCUCUGAUGCCAUUGAACACAAGGGCUUCAUUUACGCUGUCGACUCCUUCUAUGGUUGGACGUAUUGCUGGCCUACUCCAGUCAUCGCUACAAACGGCUGUUAUAGCAGUAUGUUACUUUCCUAUGAUAUCAUGAUGGCUUGCUUAUAUUACUGUCAACAUUUGCUAAAAAAUAUUCAUGCUCAUAACAUGUUGUUCUUAAGAUUGACUAAAUCAGGAGCCCUUUUUUAUUUGACUCCAACUUGAUAUGAUGUUGUAGGCCGCCUGGUGUCCCUACCCUUCCAAAUCCCAGAACCUUUCAAAGAAAAGCGGCAUGGCAGUUGCAGGUGGUUCCUAGCUCGAUCAGACGACGACGAAAGAUUGAUGAUCGUUCGCACGUACCGGACGUGUUGUUUCGCGGAAUACAAUCAUAGUCACUACAAGGUCUUUGAGCAAGAUCCCAGCUUCUCUGGGCCUUCAGGAAUUUUUGACUGGAGGCUGGUAAGUAGCCUUGGUACACGCUCUUUGUUUGUCGGACUGAAUUAUCCGAUUAACCAGGAGAUAACCGACGACAAAGAUCAUGAUGGCAGCACGGUUUUGUUCAUCAAGCAAAACUGUGUGUACACAACGUACCAUGCGUCUCUGCAUGCACCAUACCCUGAUAUGUGCCGCCACGCUCUACAGCCCAAAGUAGAAGAGAGGGUCGCAAGUAUCAGACUUCGACCUGCUGGCUGGAGUUUCCCCCAUCAGACACCUAUCUGGUUCAAGCCGUCAGCCAAUCUCCACAGCUUAAUAAAUAGUAACGUCUAACUGAGCCAGUUAGUUAGAUGCAUACACUUAGUGUAGUAGGAUCUUUAUUUAGUUUGAUGCGUACACUUGUUCUUUUUUGGUAGCCCUUUCGUAAUGAUGGAUGAUGUUUGGUUUGGAAGAGAGAGCUGCGUCUUCACUCUUAUGGCCUGCUUACUGCUUUUGUUGCACCCCCACCCCUGGUUGCUGCUGCUGCUGUUUUCAAUGUACAAUCAGUAGUAUAUUUCGUCUGUUGGUUGAAUAAAUGUGUUGUUAGAACGACAAACACAAUGUUUUGGAAGUCGUUGCAUGGUUCAAUCCUUUAGUGCCUCGUGCCGUACGUAGAGCAUACUAUUUUUCAUACGCAACACAUUUUGCACUUGUUGAUAACAUGCAGCCCACUGAUGAAGGCCCAAUAGAGAAGCCCAUAAUUAACUGCAAGGGAGGCUCUCACAUGAAUCCGGCCCAGGUACAUGCUCAUGGUCCCCUAAACAUAAAUAAGUAAAUAAAUAAAUAAAUAAAGCUAAAUGCUCAUGCACCAGUUCUUUGGGAAAAUAGGUAGGCCAGUAUUUCUUUUUGAAGAAUACCCAAGCUAGGCCUAUUUGUUUUCUCCGAAUUACUGGGCUGCAAAUCUUUCAAGAUGAGAAGGGAUGCAUUCCGGUCUGGCUUAAGAGUAUCGUCAAUGUCUGUUAAAAGUAAUAUCAAAAGGGGUUGAAAAUUCCAAAAAAUUUAUAGCAAAUUGGAUAUAAGUUUUUUUUGGUUUUUGUUCUUCACUGAUAUCUUAUACGUAUUUCAUGGGAUUUAACAUGACAUAGUACUAAUUUAUUUUUAAAUUUGUUUUAGUAUGGCUAUUAAUUUUGGAUUAAGAAUAUUUCGUCCCCAACAAAAAAUUGUGAAUUUUCAAAAUUUCCCACAUAUUUAGUUAAUUUUUUUACCCUGGUACUGACCAAAAAAUGGCCGGCAAUUCUAAAAACAGAAAACGGGCUGCAAUAAAUUCCAUAUGAAUUAGAAAAUUAGUAAAAAUUUAUAAAAAUAAUAGCAAAUGGGUUCUACACGCCACAUAUAUCGAGGCUGACUUGUUUACGCAAGGCUUUGUCAGUGAACACACGAUUCUAGCAGCAGUGACUGUUGGAUGUCCAUCCAACGGUCGACGUGCUUCUUCAAUCUUUGAUCUUCCUCCUCCAACCGCCUAAACUAGCACCGGUGGGACUGCCUGCUCCCUCCUCUUGUGGCCCGUUGUGAUGCCGCGCAGGCUUCCCCGGCCCAUCCUACUCCCUCCGCUGGGCUGGCCGCACGCAAUCAACUGCCUCCUUAUUACGCGAAAAAAUGAUUCCUCCCACUGACAUCUGGGGCCCACCGGUUGGGAGGCUGACCUGUGGGCCUACUAAGUUGACGCGUACGUAGGGCUUGUCAACUUAGUCAACAAACGAUUCUAGCAGCAGUAACCGUUGGAUUUGAAUCGAACGGUCUUGCUGCUUCUUCAAUCGCUGCUCUUCUUGCUCCAGCCGCCCAAACCAGCGCCGAGGAGACCGUCUGCUCCUGCCUCCAGUGGCCGGCCGUGCUGUCGUUGAGGCCUCAUCGCCCCCUACUACCCCCACCGCUAGCCAGGCCCUGCGGCGACGGCAGCCUCAUACCGCAGCCGAACCAGUGAACCCUCGUACUCCUCCCCGCGUGGGCAUCCACUGCCGCGUCUUCCCCGGCUCCGUGUCUUCCCCUUCCUAGGCCUCACCGUCGUCCACCGCCUUGGUGCUCUCGGCGUGGCGUGGUCAACGUGGUCAACGACAUUCCAUCGAAAGAGUAUUGUACAUGGAGAGGCUGACAGCUGGGUCCACGACCACAGCCCAGCUUUUUUGUGAUUUGCCAAGUAAGUCGCUUUGUCAGGCCUGUUGGGCUGCAAAUCUUUCAAGACGAGGAGAGCUUUCAUUCGGCUGGCCGAGAAAAUGGCCCAUCAGUAAUGAGAAAUGGGUUGUACAUUUUUAAAACACAUCAAACCGGCAAUUAGUUUCAAAUAUCUUUUUUUUCAUUUCAAGAUUUUAAAUUACAUUAAUUUUUAUGCGUGGAGAAUUUGUUGGAUUUUAUAUUGAUAUACAUUUAUUUUUAAAAUCAGUUUGAAUGUGAGUCAAAAUUUCGGGAUUAAAAACAGUUCGGACCGCACCGAAAUAUGCAAAAUUUCAUAUAAUUUUUAACCGUGGCCACAGUAUGUGUUGUAAUGCUAACAAAAAGAAUAUGGGCUCCAAAAAAACCUUAAUAAUUAGCAAAUGGGUUGUAAAUUAUUAGAAAUAAUGGCAGAUGGGUUGUAUGCUGUUUUCCACAGAUUUGAGGCUUUCCUAAAAAAGGUUGACGCACAAGCAGUGACUGUUGGAUGGCCAUCCAACGGCCGUCGUGCUUCUUCAAUCUCUGCUCUUCCUGCUCCAGCCGCUCAAACAAGCGCCGGCAGGACUGCCUGCUCCCUCCUCCCGCGGCCGGCUCUGCUGCCACGCAGGCCUCACUGCCCCACUGUACUCCCAUCGCUGGCCUAGCCAUCCCUCUACUCACCCACACCUGCUAUUAUUCUUCGGCGACGGCAGAUGAACUAGUAAACCCUCGUACAGUCGUACUCCCCUCCGUGUGGGAAACAACUGCCGAGUCUUCCCUGCCUUCGUGUCGUUCCCUUUUUAGGCCUCGCCGUCGUCCAUCGCCCUGGUGCUCUCGGCGCGGCCUGGUCAAUGUGGUCAACGACCGACAUGCAUCUGAAGUGGACUGUACGUGGAGAGGCCGACAGCUGGGUCCACGGCUGCAUGCAAGGAAAUGCCUCCUUAUUACGCACAAAUAAUGAUUCCUCCACCUGACAUCAGGGACCCAUCGAAAGGGCCUCUGUAUUUCGCGAAAAAAACGUUACCAUCGCUGACAGCUCGGACCCACCAGAUAUAUAUUCGCACGCAAGGAAGUGCCUCCUUAUUACGCACAAAAAAAUGAAUACUCCCCCAGUUAGCUGGGACCCAGUAUAGUGGCAGGCUGACUUAUGGGCCUACUAAGUUGACGGGGACGGAGGGCUUUGUCAACUUAGUCAAUAUGCAUGAUUCUAGCUCUAGUGACCGUACGAUGUCCAUCCAACGGCCGUAGUGCUUCUUCAACCUCUGGUCUUCUUGCUCCAGCCGCCCAAACCAGCGCCGGUCAUGCCUCGUGCUCCUGCCUCCCAUGGCCGACUGCGAUGCGGCGGAGGCCUCACCACCCCCUACUACUCCCACCGUUGGCCAGGCCAUCCCUCUACUCACCCACACCCCCUGUUAUUCUGCGGCGACGGCAGCCUCACACCGCAGCGAACCAGUGAACCCUCGUACUCCUCUACGCGUGGGCAUCCACUGCCGCGUCUUCCUCGGCUCCGCGUCGUCCCCUUCCUAGGCCUCGCCGUCGUCCACCGCCCUGGUGCUCUCGGCGCGGUGUGGUCAACGUGGUCAAGGAACGGCUUCCAUCGGACGUGGACUGUACGUGGAGAGGCUGACAGUUGGGUCCAUGGCCGGAGCAAGGAAGUGCCUCCUUAUUACAUGCAAAAUAAUUAUUCCUCCACCUGACAGCGGGGACCCACCGGACGGGCCACCAUAUUUCGUGAAAAAAAUGUUUCCCCCUGACUGCUGGGACCCACCAGCUACACCUUCGCACGCAAGGAAGUGCGUCCGGGCAAAAAAAUGAUUCGCCCCCCCUGACUGCUGGGACCCACCAGCUACAUCUUCGCACGCAAGGAAGUGCCUGACAGUCGGGACCCACCUGGUCGAAGCGUACGUAGCGUUGUCAUUCUGGUCGCGAAUGUGUACGUACAUACUGGUCGAUAUAGAGGCCUACACAUGUCGUAGUAGAGACGCGCACGUGUCGUAGUAGCGGCGCGCACGUGUCGUAGUAGAGGCGCGCACGUAGCAUGUACACGCACGUACAGCGGCCAUGGUGCAAGAAAGAAAAUACGGACACGUAUGUGUACAUACGGGCAGGGUCUCGAAUGCCUCCUCGCGCAUACGUACGGCCAAGGCUCGUGUACAUGGCUGGGUCGGAACGGAGAAACAACGUCAUCGUCGUGUUCAUGGGGAGGCAACGGAAUGCGUCGUGUUCAUGGGGAGGCAACAGAAUGUGUCCUGUUCAUGGGGAGGCAACGGAAUGCGUCGUGUUCAUCGGGAGGCAACGGAACGCGUGGGAGCCAACCAGCUGGGUCGGAAUGGAAUUCGUGGUCGUGUUCAUCGGGAGGGCUUGGACGGAACAGGCGAUGGAAACGAGGCCUGGCGUACCGCAGAACGGAGGAAACGGACCUCCUACGGUCAAAACGGGGGUCCUGUUGAUCGGGAGGGGUGUGGCGUACCGCAAAAUGAAGGAAACGGACCUCCUACGGUCGAAACGGGGGUCCUUUUGAUCGGGAGGGGUGUGGCGUACCGCAAAACGGACGAAACGGACCUCCUACGGUCGAAACGGGGGUCCUGUUGAACGGGAGGGGUGUGGUGUACCACAAAACGGGACUCCACGGGAUACUGUUCAUCUCCACCGUCGACCUCNNNNNNNNNNNNNNNNNNNNNNNNNNNNNNNNNNNNNNNNNNNNNNNNNNNNNNNNNNNNNNNNNNNNNNNNNNNNNNNNNNNNNNNNNNNNNNNNNNNNNNNNNNNNNNNNNNNNNNNNNNNNNNNNNNNNNNNNNNNNNNNNNNNNNNNNNNNNNNNNNNNNNNNNNNNNNNNNNNNNNNNNNNNNNNNNNNNNNNNNNNNNNNNNNNNNNNNNNNNNNNNNNNNNNNNNNNNNNNNNNNNNNNNNNNNNNNNNNNNNNNNNNNNNNNNNNNNNNNNNNNNNNNNNNNNNNNNNNNNNNNNNNNNNNNNNNNNNNNNNNNNNNNNNNNNNNNNNNNNNNNNNNNNNNNNNNNNNNNNNNNNNNNNNNNNNNNNNNNNNNNNNNNNNNNNNNNNNNNNNNNNNNNNNNNNNNNNNNNNNNNNNNGAUCGGCUUCGGUUAGCAGCAGUAGUGAAGGAAUCGCUCGAUCGGGUUCAGUUAACAACCAUCGAUCAAACGCUCGGGUUCAGUAAUGCGUAGCCUGCAGUGCAAUCGCUCGGGUUCAGUUAGAGCCCAACGCCUCGCUCGGGUUCAGUUAGAGCCAACGCCUCGCACACAUGUGCGUACGUGUACUAGAGAAACGCGCAUCGCUCGGCCCCCGACCUCCCACCGUAACCGGGAACUCCCCGAAAUUUUCCUCGCCGUCGCUUCUACCAUGGUUUUUUCCGUCAUGGACGGCCCAAAGAAUGUCAUGCAGCUGCGUCUCCGGUCCGCCCAGGACGAAAAGCCCAUUUUCUGUCAUGAUUUUUUGUCAUAGAAGUAGGAGCCCGCCACAUCUAUGAUGAUACCGGGUUUUGUCACAAUUAUCGUCAUAGAAGUGUCAUAUGUAUGACAGAAUUUUUUUUUGUUCGGCCCAAAAUGUCACAGACGUGUCUUUUUUUGUAGUGUAGGCUAAUUCGCCAUUAGUAGGCUAAUUGCCCUAUUAUUAAUAAUCCAUUUAUUAAUCUAAUUAACAUUCAUAUUAAGCAGAUAAUAUAUUUCAUUUCCAUAUUAAGGAAGCAGGAUUUCAUAACUGAAAUACAUCAGAGUACAACAUGAUAUAGCUUCAGCACUCAGCUACCCCAUUACACAACUGCACCAACACCAAGUUUCAGAUGCAACAUGUCGAACCUUUCAAAAUUAGCAUCAUAGACGGUAUAUAGACAGAUGCAUCUCAUCUGGAAAACUGCAGAAGCAGAAGGCAAAUAUUGAGCCUUCAUUCGUGUUGAAGGUCUUUACAACUUUAGGCCAGUGUCUGUGGAUGAUUGACCGUCCGUCCUUCGUCCUCUUCAGGAACACUUCAAUAUUGAACCGUGGGUGUUGUAUGAAAACCUUCCUGGCCUCUUGACCAUAGAGGUGGGUUGAGAGGUAAUCAUUAGUGAACUGCUUUGGAAAGGCCUGAAAACAAGGAUGUGCAUAAAUAUCUUCUCUAUAUUGGAAAUGGAGCAAAGGAAUAAAAAAGGCAAGGUAUAAUAUUUAGUACCAUCUUGUAGUGAACUGAUGUCUUCUUCAUUGUGCAGACAAAGAUCUUGUUUUUUUUGUCGCUAAUUUCUUUAUCCUAACAAUCUUUCUGAGUUUCUUGAUUUGAUUGAUAUUCAUGGACAACUCAUUUCCCCAAUUGCAAAAGGGUCGAACAGUGGGCCAAAACCUCUGACAGCAGGACCUACAUGUGCAAGACCAAAUUGUUAAAAACCAAAAUAUUAGAAUGGUUCCUGCAAUUGCACAAUAAUGUGCUAUUAGACAACAGACCGUGCACGUGCUAACCUCGAUUGUAAACCUUAGUGCUUCCCAUUGUUUCCCUGCAACACAUAUAAGGUAGUUAUGUUGGAAAUAUGCCCUAGAGGCAAUAAUAAAAUGGUUAGUAUUAUAUUUCUUUGUUCAUGAUAAUUGUCUAUUCUUCAUGCUAUAAUUGUGUUAUCCGGAAAUCGUAAUACAUGUGUGAAUACAUAGACCACAACACGUCCCUAGUGAGCCUCUAGUUGACUAGCUCGUUGAUCAAAGGAUAGUCAUGGUUUCCUGACUAUGGACAUUGGAUGUCAUUGAUAACAAGAUCACAUCAUUAGGAGAAUGAUGUGAUGGACAAGACCCAAUCCUAAGCUUAGCUCAAAGAUCAUGUAGUUCAUUUGUUGUAGCUUUUCUGAAUGUCAAGUAUCAUUUCCUUAGACCAUGAGAUUGUGCAACUCCCGGAUACCGUAGGAGUGCCUUGGGUGUGCCAAACGUCACAAUGUAACUGGGUGACUAUAAAGGUACAUUACAGGUAUCUCCGAAAGUGUCUGUUGGGUUGGCACGAAUGGAGACUGGGAUUUGUCACUCUGUAUGACGGAGAGGUAUCUCUGGGCCCACUCGGUAAUGCAUCAUCAUAAUGAGCUCAAUGUGACCAAGUGGUUGAUCAUGGGAUCAUGCAUUACGGCACGAGUAAAGUGACUUACCAGUAACGAGAUUGAACUAGGUAUUGGGAUACCGACGAUCGAAUCUCGGGCAAGUAACGUACCGAUUGACAAAGGGAAUUGUAUACGGAUUGAUUGAAUCCUCGACAUCGUGGUUCAUCCGAUGAGAUCAUCGUGGAACAUGUGGGAGCCAACAUGGGUAUCCAGAUCCAGCUGUUGGUUAUUGACCGGAGAGGCGUCUCGGUCAUGUCUGCAUGUCUCCCGAACCCGUAGGGUCUACGCACUUAAGGUUCUGUGACGCUAGGCUUGUAGAGAUAUUAGCAUACAGUAACACGAAAGUUGUUCGGAGUCCCGGAUGAGAUCCCGGACGUCACGAUGAGUUCCGGAAUGGUCCGGAGGUGAAGAUUUAUAUAUAGGAAGUCAAGUUUCGGCCAUCGGGAAAGUUUCGGGGGUAAUCGGUAUUGUACCGGGACCACCGGAAGGCUCCCGGGGGUCCACCGGGUGGGGCCACCUAUCCCGGAGGGCCCCAUGGGCUGAAGUGGGAGGGUAACCAGCCCCUAGUGGGCUGGUGCGCCCCCCUUGGGCCUCCCCCUGCGCCUAGGGUUGGAAACCCUAGGGGUGGGGGCGCCACCCUUGCCUUGGGGGGCAAGGCACCCCCUUGGCUGUCGCCCCCCCCCCUAGGAGAUUGGAUCUCCUAGGGGACGGCGCCCCCCCUAGGCACCCUAUAUAUAGUGGGGGGGAGGGAGGGCAGCCGCACCCAAGCCCCUGGCCUCUCCCUCUCCCUCCCGUGACACUCCUCCGUCUCCCUGCGCUUGGCGAAGCCCUGCCGAGAUCACCGUUGCUUCCACCACCACGCCGUCGUGCUGAUGGAUCUUCAUCAACCUCUCCUUCCCCCUUGCUGGAUCAAGUUGGAGGAGACGUCUUCCCAACCGUACGUGUGUUGAACGCGGAGGUGCCGUCCAUUCGGCACUUGGUCAUCGGUGAUUUGGAUCACGUCGAGUACGACUCCAUCAACCCCGUUCUCUUGAACGCUUCCGCGCGCGAUCUACAAGGGUAUGUAGAUGCACUCCUCUCUCCCUCGUUGCUAGAUGACUCCAUAGAUUGAUCUUGGUGAUGCGUAGAAUAUUUUAAAAUUCUGCUACGUUCCCCAACAGUGGCAUCAUGAGCUAGGUCUAUGCGUAGUUACUAUGCACGAGUAGAACACAAAGCAGUUGUGGGCGUCGAUAUUGUCAAUUUGCUUGCCGUUACUAGUAUUAUCUUGAUUCGGCGGCAUCGUGGCAUGAAGCGGCCCGGACCGACCUUACACGUACGCUUACGUGAGACUGGUUCCACCGACUGACAUGCACUAGUUGCAUAAGGUGGCUGGCGGGUGUCUGUCUCUCCCACUUUAGUGGGAUCGGAUUCGAUGAACAGGGUCCUUAUGAAGGGUAAAUAGAAAUUGGCAAUUCACGUUGUGGUUUUGGCGUAGGUAAGAAACGUUCUUGCUAGAAACCUAUAGCAGCCACGUAAAAACUUGCAACAAUAAUUAGAGGACGUCUAACUUGUUUUUGCAGCAAGUGUUUUGUGAUGUGAUAUGGCCAAAGGAUGUGAUGAAUGAUAUAUGUGAUGUAUGAGAUGAUCAUGUUCUUGUAAUAGGAAUCACGACUUGCAUGUCGAUGAGUAUGACAACCGGUAGGAGCCAUAGGAGUUGUCUUUAUUUAUUUAUGACCUGCGUGUCAACAUAAACGUCACGUAAUUACUUUACUUUAUUGCUAAAGCGUUAGCCAUAGUAGUAGAAGUAAUAGAUGACGAGACAACUUCAAGAAGACACGAUGAUGGAGAUCAUGAUGAUGGAGAUCAUGGUGUCAUGCCGGUGACAACGAUGAUCAUGGAGCCCCGAAGAUGGAGAUCAAAAGGAGCAAAUGAUAUUGGCCAUAUCAUGUCACUAUUUGAUUGCAUGUGAUGUUUAUCAUGUUUUACAUCUUAUUUGCUUAGAACGACGGUAGCUUAAAUAAGAUGAUCCCUCGUAAUAAUUUCAAGAAAGUGUUCCCCCUAACUGUGCACCGUUGCGAAGGUUCGUUGUUUUGAAGCACCACGUGAUGAUCGAGUGUGAUAGAUUCUAACAUUCGAAUACAACGGGUGUAAGCCAGAUUUACACACGCAAUACACUUAGGUUGACUUGACGAGCCUAGCAUGUACAGACAUGGCCUCGGAACACAGAAGACCGAAAGGUCGAGCAUGAGUCGUAUAGAAGAUACGAUCAACAUGAAGAUGUUCACCGAUGUUGACUAGUCCGUCUCAUGUGAUGAUCGAACACGGCCUAGUCAACUCGGAUCAUGUUAUACUUAGAUGACUGGAGGGAUGUCUAUCUAAGUGGGAGUUCAUUGAAUAAUUUGAUUAGAUGAACUUAAUUAUCAUGAACUUAGUCUAAAAUCUUUACAAUAUGUCUUGUAGAUCAAAUGGCCAACAUUGUCCUCAACUUCAACGUGUUCCUAGAGAAAACCAAGGUGAAAGACAAUGGCAGCAACUAUACGGACUGGGUCCGGAACCUGAGGAUCGUCCUCAUAGCUGCCAAUUAAGAUUAUGUCCUAGAAGCACCGCUAGGUGAUGCACCUGUCCCAGAGAACCAAGACGUUAUGAAUGCUUGGCAGUCACGUGCUGAUGAUUACUCCCUCGUUCAAUGCGGCAUGCUUUACAGCUUAGAACCGGGGCUCCAAAAGCGUUUUGAGAGACACAGAGCAUAUGAGAUGUUCGAAGAGCUGAAAAUGGUUUUUCAAGCUCAUGCCCGGGUCGAGAGAUAUGAAGUCUCCGGCAAGUUCUUCAGUUGUAAGAUGGAGGAAAAUAGUUCUGUCAGUGAGCACAUACUCAGAAUGUCUGGGUUGCAUAACCGCUUGACUCAGCUGGGAGUUAAUCUCCCGGAUGACGCGGUCAUUGACAGAAUCCUUCAGUCGCUUCCACUGAGCUACAAGAGCUUUGUGAUGAACUUCAAUAUGCAGGGGAUGGAAAAGACCAUUCUUGAGGUGUAUUCAAUGCUGAAAUCAGCAGAGGUGGAAAUCAAAAAGGAACAUCAAGUGUUGAUGGUGAAUAAAACCACUAAGUUCAAGAAAGGCAAGGGUAAGAAGAACUUCAAGAAGGACGGCAAGUGAGUUGCCGCGCCCGGUAAGCAAGCUGCCGGGAAGAAGCCAAAGAAUGGACCCAAGCUCGAGACUGAGUGUUUUUAUUGCAAGGGAAGUGGUCACUGGAAGCGGAACUGCCCUAAAUACUUAGCGGACAAGAAGGUCGGCAACACUAAAGGUAUAUGUGAUAUACAUGUAAUUGAUGUGUACCUUACCAGUACUCAUAGUAGCUCCUGGGUAUUUGAUACCGGUGCGGUUGCUCACAUUUGUAACUCAAAGCAGGAGCUGCGGAAUAAGCGGAGACUGGCGAAGGACGAGGUGACGAUGCGCGUUGGGAAUGGUUCCAAGGUCGAUGUGAUCGCCGUCGGCACGCUGCCUCUACAUUUACCUACGGGAUUAGUUUUAAACCUCAAUAAUUGUUAUUUAGUGCCAGCUUUGAGCAUGAACAUUGUAUCAGGAUCUUGUUUAAUUCGAGAUGGCUACUCAUUUAAAUCCGAGAGUAAUGGUUGUUCUAUUUAUAUGAGAGAUAUGUUUUAUGGUCAUGCUCCGAUGGUGAAUGGUUUAUUCUUAAUGAAUCUCGAGUGUAAUGCUACACAUAUUCAUAGUGUGAAUACCAAAAGAUGUAUGGUUGAUAAUGAUAGUCCCACAUACUUGUGGCACUGCCGCCUUGGUCACAUAGGUGUCAAACGCAUGAAGAAGCUCCAUGCAGAUGGACUUUUAGAGUCUCUUUAUUACGAAUCAUUUGACACGUGCGAACCAUGCCUCAUGGGUAAAAUGACCAAGACUCCGUUCUCAGGAACAAUGGAGCAAGCAACCAACUUAUUGGAAAUCAUACAUACUGAUGUGUGUGGUCCAAUGAGUGUUGAGGCUCGCGGUGGCUAUCGUUAUGUUCUCACCCUCACUGAUGACUUGAGUAGAUAUGGGUAUGUCUACUUAAUGAAACACAAGUCUGAGACCUUUGAAAAGUUCAAGGAAUUUCAGAGUGAGGUUGAGAAUCAACGUGACAAGAAAAUCAAGUUCUUGCGAUCAGAUCAUGGGGGAGAAUACUUGAGUCACAAAUUUGGCACACACUUAAGAAAAUGUGGAAUAGUUUCACAACUCACGCCGCCAGGAACACCUCAGCGUAAUGGUGUGUCCGAACGUCGUAAUCGCACUCUAUUGGAUAUGGUGCGAUCUAUGAUGUCUCUUACCGAUUUACCGCUGUCAUUUUGGGGCUAUGCUUUAGAGACUGCCUUAUUCACUUUAAAUAGGGCUCCGUCGAAAUCCGUUGAGACGACACCGUAUGAAUUAUGGUUUGGGAAGAAACCUAAGCUGUCAUUUCUAAAAGUUUGGGGAUGCGAUGCUUAUGUCAAGAAACUUCAACCUGAAAAGCUCGAACCCAAGUCGGAAAAAUGCGUCUUCAUAGGAUACCCUAAAGAAACUGUUGGGUAUACCUUCUACCUCAGAUCCGAAGGCAAGAUCUUUGUUGCCAAGAAUGGGUCCUUUCUAGAGAAAGAGUUUCUCUCGAAAGAAAUAAGUGGGAGGAAAGUAGAACUUGAUGAAGUAUUACCUCUUGAACCGGUAAGUGGCGCAGCUCAAGAAAAUGUUCUUGAGGUGCCUGCACCGACUAGAGAGGAAGUUAAUGAUGAUGAUCAUGAAACUUCAGAUCAAGUUACUACUGAACCUCGUAGGUCCACGAGGACACGUUCCGCACCAGAGUGGUACGACAACCCUGUCUUGGAAAUCAUGUUGUUAGACAACGGUGAACCUUCGAACUAUGAAGAAGCGAUAGCGGGCCCGGAUUCCGACAAAUGGCUGGAAGCCAUGAAAUCUGAGAUAGGAUCCAUGUAUGAAAACGAAGUGUGGACUUUGACUGACUUGCCCGAUGAUCGGCGAGCCAUAGAAAAUAAAUGGAUCUUUAGGAAGAAGACAGACGCGGAUGGUAAUGUGACCAUCUAUAAAGCUCAGCUUGUCGCUAAGGGUUAUCGACAAGUUCAAGGGGUUGACUACGAUGAGACUUUCUCACCCGUAGAGAAGCUGAAGUCCGUCUGAAUCAUGUUAGCAAUUUCCGCAUUCUAUGAUUAUGAGAUAUGGCAAAUGGACGUCAAAACGGCAUUCCUUAAUGGUUUCCUUAAGGAAGAAUUGUAUAUGAUGUAGCCGGAAGGUUUUGUCGAUCCUAAGAAUGCUGACAAGGUGUGCAAGCUCCAACGCUCGAUUUAUGGGCUGGUGCAAGCAUCUCGGAGUUGGAACAUUCGUUUUGAUGAGAUGAUCAAAGCGUUUGGGUUUACGCAGACUUAUGGAGAAGCCUGCAUUUACAAGAAAGUGAGUGGGAGCUCUGUAGCAUUUCUCAUAUUGUAUGUGGAUGACAUACUGUUGAUGGGAAAUGAUAUAAAAUUCUUGGAAAGCAUAAAGGCCUACUUGAACAAGUGUUUUUCAAUGAAGGACCUUGGAGAAGCUGCUUAUAUAUUAGGCAUCAAGAUCUAUAGAGAUAGAUCGAGACGCCUCAUUGGUCUUUCACAGAGUACGUACCUUGACCAGAUAUUGAAGAAGUUCAAAAUGGAUUAGUCAAAGAAGGGGUUCUUGCCUGUAUUGCAAGGUACGAGAUUGAGCACGGCUCAAUGCCCGACCACGGCAGAAGAUAGAGAAAAGAUGAGUGUCGUCCCCUAUGCCUCAGCCAUAGGGUCUAUCAUGUAUGCUAUGCUGUGUACCAGACCUGAUGUAAACCUUGCCGUAAGUUUGGUAGGAAGGUACCAAAGUAAUCCCGGCAUGGAACACUGGACAGCGGUCAAGAAUAUCCUGAAGUACCUGAAAAGGACUAAGGACAUGUUUCUCGUGUAUGGAGGUGACGAAGAGCUCGUCGCAAAGGGUUACAUUGAUGCUAGCUUCGACAUAGAUCUGGAUGACUCUAAGUCACAAACCGGAUACGUGUAUAUUUUGAAUGGUGGGGCAGUAAGCUGGUGCAGUUGCAAGCAAAGCGUUGUGGCGGGAUCUACAUGUGAAGCGGAGUACAUGGCAGCCUCGGAGGCAGCACAAGAAGCAGUCUGGGUGAAGGAGUUCAUUACCGACCUAGGAGUCAUACCCAAUGCGUCGGGCCCGAUGACUCUCUUCUGUGACAAGACUAGAGCUAUUGCCCUUGCCAAGGAGCCUAGGUUUCACAGGAAGACCAGGCAUAUCAAGUGUCGCUUCAACUCCAUUCGUGAAAGUGUUCAAAAUGGAGACAUAGGGAUUUGUAAAGUAAAUACGGACCUGAAUGUGGCAGAUCCGUUGACUAAACCUCUCCCUAGAGCAAAACAUGAUCAACACCAGAACUGCAUGGGUGUUCGAUUCAUCACAAUGUAACUAGACUAUUGACUCUAGUGCAAGUGGGAGACUGUUGGAAAUAUGCCCUAGAGGCAAUAAUAAAAUGGUUAAUAUUAUAUUUCUUUGUUCAUGAUAAUUGUCUAUUGUUCAUGCUAUAAUUGUGUUAUCCGGAAAUCGUAAUACAUGUGUGAAUACAUAGACCACAACACGUCCCUAGUGAGCCUCUAGCUGACUAGCUCAUUGAUCAAAGGAUAGUCAUGGUUUCCUGACUAUGGACAUUGGAUGUCAUUGAUAACAGGAUCACAUCAUUAGGAGAAUGAUGUGAUGGACAAGACCCAAUCCUAAGCUUAGCUCAAAGAUUGUGUAGUUCGUUUGCUGUAGCUUUUCUGAAUGUCAAGUAUCAUUUCCUUAGACCAUGAGAUUGUGCAACUCCCGGAUACCGUAGGAGUGCCUUGGGUGUGCCAAACGUCACAACAUAACUGGGUGACUAUAAAGGUACAUUACAGGUAUCUCCGAAAGUGUCUGUUGGGUUGGCACGAAUGGAGACUGGGAUUUGUCACUCUGUAUGACGGAGAGGUAUCUCUGGGCCCACUCGGUAAUGCAUCAUCAUAAUGAGCUCAAUGUGACCAAGUGGUUGAUCACGGGAUCAUGCAUUACGGCACGAGUAAAGUGACUUACCGGUAAUGAGAUUGAACUAGGUAUUGGGAUACCGACGAUCGAAUCUCGGGCAAGUAACGUACCGGUUGACAAAGGGAAUUGUAUACGGAUUGAUUGAAUCCUAGACAUCGUGGUUCAUCCGAUGAGAUCAUCGUGGAACAUGUGGGAGCCAACAUGGGUAUCCAGAUCCCGCUGUUGGUUAUUGACCGGAGAGGCGUCUCGGUCAUGUCUGCAUGUCUCCCGAACCCGUAGGGUCUACACACUUAAGGUUCGGUGACACUAGGGUUGUAGAGAUAUUAGCAUACGGUAACCCGAAAGUUUUUCGGAGUCCUGGAUGAGAUCCCGGACGUCACGAGGAGUCCCGGAAUGGUCCGGAGGUGAAGAUUUAUAUAUAGGAAGUCAAGUUUCGGCCAUCGAGAAAGUUUCGGGGGUAAUCGGUAUUGUACCAGGACCACCGAAAGGGUCCCGGGGGUCCACCGGGUGGGGCCACCUAUCCCGGAGGGCCCCAUGGGCUGAAGUGGGAGGGGAACCAGCCCCUAGUGGGCUGGUGCGCCCCCCUUGGGCCUCCCCCUGCGCCUAGGGUUGGAAACCCUAGGGGUGGGGGGGCACCCUUGCCUUGGGGGGCAAGGCACCCCCUUGGCCGCCGCCCCCCUAGGAGAUUGGAUCUCCUAGGGGUCGGCGCCCCCCCUAGGCACCCUAUAUAUAGUGGGGGGAGGGAGGGCAGCCGCACCCAAGCCCCUGGCUUCUCCCUCUCCCUCCCGUGACACUCCUCCGUCUCCCUGCGCUUGGCGAAGCCCUGCCGAGAUCAUCGUUGCUUCCACCACCACGCCAUCGUGUUGCUGGAUCUUCAUCAACCUCUCCUCCGCCCUUGCUGGAUCAAGUUGGAGGAGACGUCUUCCCAACCGUACGUGUGUUGAACGCGGAGGUGUCGUCCGUUCGGCACUUGGUCAUCGGUGAUUUGGAUCACGUCGAGUACGACUCCAUCAACCCCAUUCUCUUGAACGCUUCCGCGCGCGAUCUACAAGGGUGUGUAGAUGCACUCCUCUCUCCCUCGUUGCUAGAUGACUCCAUAGAUUGAUCUUGGUGAUGCGUAGAAUAUUUUAAAAUUCUGCUAUGUUCCCCAACAAGUUAGUCAUCAAGUUAAGUAAGGGUUCGCAUGCUAUCAGUAAAAUAUGUUGAUGAAAAAUAAGCACAUUGCAUCAUCAGAUUAAUUCAAGCCACAUGGAAAACCCAUUUAUCCAAACCAAGCAUGAUUAAGAACUAGGAAAUAUAGCACUUGUAUAUGUUUCUCAUGUAUUAAGUGCAGCCAAAUUCGAUUUAUUCCUCACAUGCACAACAAUACAAAAUUCUACCCACGAUAGUUGGACAUCGCAUUGCAGAAUUGAACCAAGUAGUUAACUAAACACCACAACAAAUGAACCAACAUUAAAUAAGCACCACAUUGCAUAAUAUAACAUAGUCCUAAUAGAAGAUCAGACAGUUAACCAAACAGUUAACCACAGCCAAUUGUAGCAAUUGCAUUUGUUUCCCAUGUAUUUACUACAUCCAAAUUCAAUUUAUUCCUUAGAUGGUAUACAAUAACCGAAUGCACCCACAACUAUUGAACAUCGCAUGGCAGAAUUGAACCAAACAAUUAACUAAACACCACAACACAAAUGAACCAAACAUUAACUGAGCACCACAUUGCACAAUGUAUAACCAAACCAAGCAUGCUUGACAACUUGGAAAUAUAGCAAUUGUAUUCGUUUCUCAUGUAUUUUGUAAAGAUAAAUUCAAUUUAUUUCUCACAUGGAAGACAAUACAAAAUUGCAGCCUGAAGAAUUGAACAUCACAUUUGCAGAAUUGAACCAAACAGUUAAUUGAAGACGACAACUAAUUAACAAAACAGUUAAUAAGUGAGCACCACACUGCACGACAUAUAGAACAUAUACACUAGAGCAACAGAUUGCAUGGUUAAAUUAGAUAGCACAAUGCACUUGAAUUUGUGAAGGAAAGGCAGGAGCAGCACACGCAACGGGUAAAUCGAGCAUGCUUAACCGGCGUAGCUAGCAAAUGGCAAGGUGCUCCUCCAUGAUCUGGGGGUUGGCACGAAUGGCAGCCAUCGCGACCUCAUCCGCGCGUGCGGCCGCGAUUUGCUUCUCCGCUGCCAAAUGCUCCUUGAAAUCCUGGCUAUACUGCAUGCACCAUGGCUUAGGGCCGCGCUUACUUGGUGGAGUGGUCGGUGAUUUGGGUGGAAGGUGUCGCGCUCGCGCCGGCGGUCGGGGCAUGUGUGAUGUGGAAGGAGGAGGAUGAUGGGGGUCGGGUGUGGAGUACCUGCCUGGAUAGACGAGGCCGAGCAGCGUGAAGGAGGGUCGCCGACGAGGAGGCGGCGUUUGAAGCAAGGAGUGAAGGUUUCAACUUGGAAAGGAAGGAGGAAAUAGGGGAAAUGUGGCUUUUGGUAAGGGGAGGGGGCGGUGACGUAGAUAUUUCCGCUGAAGCCAAAAAUUUGGAAUCGCUUCAGCAAAAAAACUGGAGCGUGAAGUGUCAUCAGACACGGUCCCUUAUUCAGAACUUUGUACGAUAUGUGAACAUCACAAACGAUUCAGAUAGCUUAAACCAUGUGUGAUGAGUUUAAACGUCAAAAAUUUUGGUUCGAAUUUCCAUGGUUACAAUGCUCAUCCACGUCAUUGCAUAAUUUGGGUACACAAAGGAGACUACAGCACACCCACACUUCUUAAUCGAGCAAGUUCAACAAUUAAACAGAGCUAGCUGACCUAAACAUUACUCUAACAAAUUAAAGAACGGCGCUCUUAAUUAAACAAAACAAAGAGUACUGCUAUAGCUGGUGCUCGUGGAUCUCCGCCGCCGCCUCCAUGUCCAGCUCGCGCCCGACGGUCUCCUGGGUAAGGGGCUCCAUGGCAUCCAUCGCACCAUACUCGGCAAGCAUCUCGCCAGAGGCGUCCCCUAUCUCUUUGGAGAAGGUCGCCAUGAGUUGGGCGUGGGCAGACAUGAUUUGGGCUUCGACGGGCUCCGUCGUUGCAAGGUAUGCGGUGGAGGAAAGGACGGCUGCUCGAAUGCUCUCGGCGAUUGCCAGCUCUUCGGCCGUGGGUUGCCGACCGUUGUCGGAGAAGCUUCGUUUGAUUUGUGUGGUGACCAUCGGGAGCUGGGCGUGGGCGGCCUCCAUCAGGGCUAAGGUCGCCGCUGCGGAACGGACAGUUGCUGUGCUGCUCUUGCCAGUUGUUAUCCCCAAGCCAGAUGUUGCUGCCGCCACCUAAGAAGCAACAUCGACCGUUUGGGCUGCCAUGGCCGCCUGGCCGUAGAUUGUGGUCACGCUCAUGCACCUUGUUAGCACGCGCAUGGCAGUUGCGGCCGUGCUCUUGCCGGAGCGGGCCACCAAAGUUGCCCUCAUGAUGCGGGUCCACAUGCCCAUCUUUUACCGGUGAUGAUUGAAUAGUGAAAUGAUAUUUGGGGAGCGAGCUAGUGCUUGACACGCCGGCUAUGGACUGUAGCCGACGCACCUUCUCGCAUAAGGCAUAGGCGUACUAUACACCGAUGAUGCUCCAGGAUAUUUUGUGUUGCAUCUCACACGAUUGGUGAUAAUAAACUGUGUGCGAUCUACUUGAUUCUUCAUCUUGAUUUGAAUUAAAUAACGGGGUCACAACGGCAAUGGAUGGUGUUUGAAUUGCGAGACCUUUUAUCUGGAGUGAACAUGCAACUAUAUGUGUGUCGUAAAAGAAUUGGAAUCAUCCAGGGUUCGUUUGAACAUUUUAUACAUUAAAUUGGUUUUCUAGCCAUUUCAGGUGCACAAUUCAAAAUUAAACUACAUGCACAUGCUGUGGUGCACCAACAUGGGUUGUAAAAUUAUAUAUGUGUCCAUGGGUUUAUGCUUAUCUCCCACACAAGAAAUGGGGAUGAAAUUCGAACACCACUGCACCGUGGCUCUCUGGCAAACAUCGACGUACUUCCUUUUGUAAUUCUAGUAAAUCCAAAAUUCAUCCGAAAUUCAUGAAACUUGGCAUGCUAUCAUGGAGUGGCAUCAACAUGCCGUGGUAAAUUUUUUGUCCCAUUUGGGGCAGGUUUGGGUAUAAGCUUCCCAUAAACCAGAGCUUCUCACAACAAGUGUGAUGGUUUCGGUAGGGAACGUUUCACCUUUCUGGACGAAACAAUAUCCAUUGCCUCUUCUUGAUUUCAAAUUUUUUCAUAGUGUCAACAUAGAACAACAUGAGUGUUGUGUCAAUUUUUGGGAUUUUGGGGGUUCACUUGGACAUUUUUAUACAUUAACUGAGUUUUCUAUGCAUUCAUGUGCAUAAUUCAAAUUUGAACUAUAGGCACAUGCUCUAAUGCAUAUAAAUUAGUUGAAAAUUCAAAUCUGCAUCUUGGUUGCUUGCUUAGAUCCCAUGCAAGAAAUGUCAAAAACCCUACCACCGUCACUCGGCCACAAACAUUGAGAUACCUAGUUUUUAAAUUCUAGUAAAUCCAAAACUCGUCUGAAAUUCAUGAAACUUGGCAUGCUAUCAUGGAGCGGCAUCAACAUGCCAUGGUAAAAAAUUUGUCCCAUUUGGGGCAGGUUUGGGUAUAUGCUUCUCACAAACCAGAGCUUCUCACAACAAGCAUGGUGGUUCGGUAGGGAACGUCCCACCUUUGGGGAUGAAACGAUAUCCAUUUGCCUCUUAUUGCUUCCAAUUUUUUUCUCGUGUCAACAUAGAACAACAGGAGUGUUGUGUCAAUUUUUGUGAUUUUUUGGCGUUCGUUUGGACAUUUCUAUGCAUUAACUAAGUUUUCAAUGCAUUUAUGUGCAUAAUUCAAAUUUGAACUACAUGCACAUGCUCCAACGCAUAUAAAUUGUUUGAAAAAUCAAAUAUGUGUCCUUGGGUGCAUGCUUAGAUACCAUGCAAGAAAUGGGAAUGAAUUUCAAACACCAGGGCAUCGUUGAUUUCCGGUAAAACAAUAAGAUGCCUGGUUUUUAAAUUGGAGUAAACCCAAAACUCAUCUGAAAUUCAUGAAACUUGGCAUGCUAUCAUGGAGCGGCAUCAACAUGUGGUGGUAAAAUUUUUGUCCCAUUUGGGGCAGGUUUGGGUAUAUGCUUCUCACAAACCAGAGCUUCUCACAACAAGCAUGAUGGUUUCGGUAGGGAACGUCCCACCUUUGGGGACGAAACGAUAUCCAUUGCCUCUUAUUGCUUUCAAAAUUUUCUCGUGUCAACAUAGAACAACACGAGUGUUGUGUCAAUUUUUGUGAUUUUUUCGGGUUCGUUUGGAAAUUUUUAUGCAUUAACGGAGUUUUCAAUGCAUUUAUGUGCAUAAUUCAAAUUUGAAAUACAUGCACAAGCUCUAGUGCAUAUAAAUUGGUUGAAAAAUCAAAUCUGUGUCCUUGGGUGCAUGCCUAGGUCCCAUGCAAGAAAUGGGAAUGAAUUUCAAACACUAGGACACUGUUGAUUAUCGGCAAAACAUUGAUAUGCCUGGUUUUCUAAUUCUAGUAAAUCCAAAACUCGUCUAAAAUUCAUGAAACUUGGCAUGCUAUCAUGGAGCGGCAUCAACAUCCCGUGGUAACAUUUUGGUCCCAUUUGGGGCAGGUUUGGGUAUAUGCUUCUCACAAAUCAGAGCUUCUCACAACAAGCAUGAUGGUUUCAGUAGGGAACGUCCCACCUUUGGGGAUCAAAUGAUAUCCAUUGCCUCUUAUUUCUUUCAAAAUUUUCUCGUGUCAACCUAGAACAACAGGAGUGUUGUGUCAAUUUUUGUGAUUUUUCAGGGUUCGUUUGGACAUUUUUAUGCAUUAACUGAGUUUUCAAUGCAUUUAUGUGCAUAAUUCAGAUUUGAACUCCAUGCACCUGCUCCAGUGCAUAUAAAUUGGUUGAAAAAAAAUCAAAUAUGUGUCCUGGGGUGCAUGCUUAGGUCCCAUGCAAGAAAUGGGAAUGAAUUUCAAACAGCAGGGCACUGUUGAUUGCCGGCAAAACAUUGAGAUGCCUGGUUUUUAAAUUCUAGUAAAUCCAAAACUCGUCUGAAAUUCAUGAAACUUGGCAUGCUAUCAUGGAGCGGCAUCAACAUGCCGUGGUAAAUUUUUUGUCCCAUUUGGAGCAGGUUUGGGUAUAUGCUUCUCACAAACCACAACUUCUCACAACAAGCAUGAUGGUUUCGGUAGGGAACGUCCCACCUUUGGGGACGAAACGAUAUCCAUUGCCUCUUAUUGCUUUCAAUUUUUUUUCUCGUGUCAACAUAGAACAACAGGAGUUUUGUGUCAAUUUUUGUGAUUUUUCGGGGUUCGUUUGGACAUUUUUAUGCAUUAGCUGAGUUUUCAAUGCAUUUAUGUGCAUAAUUCAAAGUUGAACUACAUGCACAUGCUCCAGUGCAUAUAAAUUGGUUGAAAAAUCAAAUCUGUGUCCUUGGCUUCAUGCUUAGGUCCCAUGCAAGAAAUGGGAAUGACUUUCGAACACCAGGGCACCAUUAUUGCCGACAAAACGAUGAGAUACUUUAUUUUUAAAUUCUAGUAAAUCCAAAACUCGUUUGAAAUUCAUGAAACUUGGCAUGCUAUCAUGGAUGUGCACCUGACAUGCUGUGGUAUUUUUCGUGUCCAUUUCGAGAGAAGGCGCACUCACAUAAUGACAGCCAUCAAAGGCAUUUUGAAAAAAUAGUUGCCACUUUAAUAUCUCAAACAUUUGUAUAAUUCAAACUGUGCGCAUUCUGUUAACAAUUCACGUGACACCAUGUGUCUUGGUUUUAAUGGUUGUAGGAGGUGCCAUGCAGACAACCGCUUGACUUUAACUAAACGGGAGGCGUGCGAGCGCAGUCCGGUGCGUAGGCUAACCGAGAGGAGUGCAAGCUGUCCUCGAAUGCGCAGGCUCAUCGGGAAGCGUGCGAGUUGUAUGCUGCGCAGGCUCACUCGAAAGUGAGCCCUUUGACUUCCAUGGCCACCUACCUUCCUCUCUGUCGGUGUACAAAAGUAGGUGUCCUCUUUGUACCCCUUUACUUGUGCACGGGCAGUCGCAGCCACACACCCGCAGCCGUGCUUGGUGGGGCAGAAGAGGAAGCAAAGACACAAGACUACCAGAGCUGUAUUCAAGACCAGAAGCAUGAAGAGCAGAGGGGCGAGGUGAAACUCCCCCGGCAAGGCCCUUGCCAGGGAGGCCUUCACAGCCCUGGCAAGGGCCUUGCCGGGGCAACUUGCCCAACACCAACGAGGCCGCCAGCCUUGAGCUUAAGAAUUCUGACGCCACCAACCACGUUGGAACCAAGGCUCGGGAGGCGCCUCCAUGGUGGCAUGCAGAUCUUUGUGAAGACAAAGGGCCUGCAAGGCCUAGAUAGGAACCAAGAAACAAGACAACAGCAAGGCUCCUUGCCGAGGAUGCCCACGAGGCCCCGACAAGGCUCCUGCCAAAGAAACCCAUGCGGCCCCAGGAAGACUCUUGCUGAGGGUGCCCACAAGGCCCCGGCAAGACCCUUGCCGGGAAGAUCAGCAAGACCACGGCAAGGCCUUGCCACCCCAGCUCAGCGGCCGACCCACCAACUAAGCAGGUACCCACAUGGCAGUACGCGGCUCCUAAGCCAAGUAGUCAAGCACGAAUGUGGUGGCAUGCAGAUCUUCGUGAAGACGCUGCCACCACGCCAGCUCAGCAGCCUUCCAGCCUACAUGGUGUUGCAUGCCUCGUUGGCCUGGACGCGUGACGGAGCAAGGCGAAGCGGCGACGGACGGGACGGGCCUCGUUGCCGUCCCCGAUAAAGCAAGAGGACACCUAAGUAGCGCAUUUAAUGUGUGUUGUCCCGUAAUGUCAGGCGAUAAACUCGACUAGCGUACAACUUUCCACCUCCUGUGUGCCACUGUGGCAGCCCCUUUGACUAUAAAAGGAGGACCGCGGCAUACUAUGAGAGGAUUCGGACUUUUUGGACCCUGCACGCUUUGUAGCUAGUCCAAGAACACCAGAUAAACACAAACCAGCAGGAGUAGGGUAUUACGCAUCACUUGCGGCCCAAAACUGGAUCAACUCCCCCGUGUUGUUGCUCUAAACCCACUCUUUCCAUAGCCCCGCACCCGCCAACCGUAGAAGGGAUUCCCUAUGAUCCCAUAAGCGUCAUUCUCACUGACAUAUUUGGCGCACCAGCUAGGGGGCGCAAGCUGUGAAAAUCCGGUUUGGAAGUUAGCACAUUGACUUCAUCAUCACCAUGGCCCCCAAGAAAAAGGGGAUCACAGCGAUCGGGUCGUCUGGAGUCGGCCCGUCCGCGCCAGCGCGAGCAGGCGACCGGGUGGCCGCGGAUCGUGCCGAAGACAUGGCCCGUGAGCAUCCACGACAUUCUGGCAAUCAGAUCCAGGCAAGCGGCGUCGUUCGGAUCCGAGACAACGAGUCGUGCGCCGCUGGGUCCGGGGGCGGGGCCAUGCGGCCCACGGGCGGCGCGGUAACCUCUAUGGUGCCCCAGAUCGCACAUGCACUGCGGCCUUCCCAGGCCACGCGCGAUGAGCAACACCGCGAUGCCGGAGCUCCCGGGCACCGCCGCGGGAAGAAACCUGUGUGCCGCUCUCAGGAUGCACCAGGCCGGCGUACGCGCCCGUAUGCCGGUGAAAGCGGCAUGCGACCGCAAGACCGUGACAGAGCUCCUUCUAACUUGGUUAGAAGUCGGAGCGUGUGAUGUCUACUACACAACCUUCUUCUUGUAGACGUUGCUGGGCCUCCAAGUGCAAAGCUUUGUAGGACAGUAGCAAAUUUCCCUCAAGUAGAUGACCUAAGGUUUAUCAAUCCGUAGGAGGCGUAGGAUGAAGAUGGUCUCUCUCAAGCAACCCUACAACCAAAUAACAAAGAGUAUCUUAUGUCCCCAACACACCCAAUACAAUGGUAAAUUGUGUAGGUGCACUAGUUCGGCGAAGAGAUAGUGAUACAAGUGCAAUAUGGAUGGUAGAUAUAUGUUUUUGUAAUCUGAAAAUAUAAAAACAGCAAGGUAACUAAUGAUAAAAGUGAGCACAAACGGUACUACAAUGCUAGGAAACAAGGCCUAGGGUUCAUACUUUCACUAGUGCAAGUUCUCUCAACAAUAAUAACAUAAUUGGAUCACAUAACUAUCCCUCAACAUGCAACAAAGAGUCACUCCAAAGUCACUAUUAGCGGAGAACAAACAAAGAGAUUAUGGUAGGGUACGAAACCACCUCAAAGUUAUUCUUUCCGAUUGAUCCAUUUAAUCUAUCAUAGAGUUCUUACUAGAAUGACACCUUAAGACACAAAUCAACCAAAACCCUAAUGUCACCUAGAUAGUCCAAUGUCACCUCAAGUAUCCAUGGGUAUGAUUAUACGAUAUGCAUCACACAAUCUCAGAUUCAUCUAUUCAACCCAACACAAAGUACUUCAAAGAGUGCCCCAAAGAUUCUACUGAAGAGUCAAGACGAAAACGUGUGCCAACCCCUAUGCAUAGGUUCAUGGGAGGAACCCGCAAGUUGAUCACCAAAACAUACAUCAAGUGAAUCAAAUCCUUAAAGACUCAAUCCGAUAAGAUAACUUCAAAGGGAAAACUCAAUCCAUUACAAGAGAGUAGAGGGGGAGAGACAUCAUAAGAUCCAACUAUAAUAGCGAAGCUCGCGAUACAUCAAGAUCAUACCGGGAUGAUGAAGAUGGCCACCGGAGAGGGAUUUACCCCUCCGGCAGGGUGCCGGAACGGGUCUAGAUUGGUUUUCGGUGGCUACGGAGGCUUCUGGCGAUGGAACUACCGAUCUAUUCUGCUCCCCGAUGUUUUUAGGGUAUAUGGGUAUAUAUGGGAGGAAGAAGUACGUCGGUGGACCUCCGGGCUGUCCACGAGGCAGGGGGCACGCCCAAGUGGGGUGGGCGUGCCCCCCACCCUCGUGGGCAGCCGAGACUCUCCUGGUCCAACUCCGAUACUCCGUGGGCUUCUUCUGGUCCAAAAAUAAGUUCCGUGAAGUUUCAGGUCAAUUGGACUCCGUUUGAUUUUCCUUUUUUGCGAUACUCUAAAACAAGGAAAAAACAGAAACUGGCACUGGGCUCUAGGUUAAUAGGUUAGUCCCAAAAAUCAUAUAAAAUAGCAUAUAAAACAUCCAAGGUUGAUAAUAUAAUAGCAUGGAACAAUAAAAAAUUAUAGAUACGUUGGAGACAUAUCAACAUCCCCAAGUUGAAUUCCUGCUCAUCCUCGAGUAGGUAAAUGAUAAAAACAGAAUUUUUGAUGUGGAAUGCUACCUAACAUAUUUAUUCAUGUAGUUCUCUUUAUUGUGACAAGAAUAUUCAGAUCCAUAAGAUUCAAGAUAAAAGUUUAAUAUUGACACAAAAAUAAUAAUACUUCAAGCAUACUAACCAAGUAAUCAUGUCUUCUCAAAAUAACAUGGCCAAAGAAAGCUAUCCCUACAAAAUCAUAUAGUCUGGCUAUGCUCUAUCUUCACCACACAAAAUAUUUAAAUCAUGCACAACCCCAAUGACAAGCCAAGCAAUUGUUUCAUACUUUUGUUGUUCUCAAACUUAUUCAAUCUUCACGCAAUACAUGAGCGUGAGCCAUGGACAUAGCACUAUAGGUGGAAUAGAAUGGUGGUUGUGGAGAAGACAAAAAGGAGAAGAUAGUCUCACAUCAACUAGGCAUAUUAACGGGCUAUGCAGAUGCCCAUCAAUAGAUAUCAAUGUGAGUGAGUAGGGAUUGCCAUGCAACGGAUGCACUAGAGCUAUAAACGUAUGAAAGCUCAACAAAAGAAACUAGUGGAUGUGCAUCCAACUCGCUUGCUCAUGAAGACCUAGGGCAUUUUGAGGAAGCCCAUCAUUGGAAUAUACAAUCCAAGUUCUAUAAUGAAAGAUUCCCACUAGUAUAUGAAAGUGACAACAUAGGCGACUUUCUAUGAUGAAGAUCAUGGUGCUACUUUGAAGCACAAGUGUGGUAAAAGGAUAGUAGCAUUGCCCCUUCUCUCUUUUUCUCUCAUUUUUUUAUUUUUUUUAUUUUUUUAUUUGGGCCUUUUCUCUUUUUUAUGGCCUCUUUUUUCCUUUUUUAUUUUUCGUCCGGAGUCUCAUCCCGACUUAUGGGGGAAUCAUAGUCUCCAUCAUCCUUUCCUCACAGGGACAAUGCUCUAAUAAUGAUGAUCAUCACACUUUUAUUUACUUACAACUCAAGAAUUAAAACUCAAUACUUAGAACAAAAUAUGACUCUAUAUGAAUGCCUCCGGCGGUGUACCGGGAUGUGCAAUGACUCAUGAGUGACAUGUAUGGAAGAAUUAUGAAUGGUGGCUUUGCCACAAAUACGAUCUCAACUACAUGAUCAUGCAAAGCAAUAUGACAAUGAUGGAGCGUGUCAUAAUAAACGGAACGGUGGAAAGUUGCAUGGCAAUAUAUCUCGGAAUGGCUAUGGAAAUGCCAUAAUAGCUAGGUAUGGUGGCUGUUUUGAGGAAGGUAUAUGGUGGGUUUAUGAUACUAGUGAAAGGUGUGCGGUAUUAGAGAGGCUAGCAAUGGUGGAAGGGUGAGAGUGCGUAUAAUCCAUGGACUCAACAUUAGUCAUAAAGAAAUCACAUACUUAUUGCAAAAAUCUAUUAGUUAUCGAAACAAAGUACUAUGUGCAUGAUCCUAGGGGGAUAUUUUGGUAGUAAAAGACCAUCGCUCGUCCCCGACUGCCACUCAUAAGGAAGACAAUCAAUAAAUAAAUCAUGCUCCGACUUCGUCACAUAACGGUUCACCAUACGUGCAUGCUACGGGAAUCACAAACUUCAACACAAGUAUUUCUCAAAUUCACAACUACACAACUAGCAUGACUCUAAUAUCACCAUCUCCAUAUCGCAAAACAAUCAUCAAGUAUCAAACUUCUCUUAGUAUUCAAUGCACUUCAUAUGAAAGUUUUUAUUAUAUCCCUCUUGGAUGCCCAUCAUAUUAGGACUAGUUUCAUAACCAAAGCAAGCUACCAUGCUGUUCUAAAGACUCUCAAAAUAAUAUAAGUGAAGCAUGUGAGGUCAUCUAUUUCUAUAAAAUAAAACCACCAACGUGCUAUAAAAGGAUAUAAGUGAGGCACUAGAGCAACAACAAACUACUCCGAAAGAUAUAAGUGAAGAUCAAUGAGUAGUCGAAUAAUUAUGAAACUAUAUGAAGACUCUCUAAUAUUUAAGAAUUUAAGAUCUUGGUAUUUUAUUCAAACAGCAUGCAAAAAUAAAUAAAAUAGAAUGACGCUCCAAGCAAAACACACAUCAUGUGGCGAAUAAAAAUAUAGCUCCAAGUAAAGUUACCGAUGAGCGAAGACGAAAGAGGGGAUGCCUUCCGGGGCACCCCCAAGCUUAGGCUCUUGGUUGUCCUUGAAUAUUACCUUGGGGUGCCUGGGGCAUCCCCAAGCUUAGGCUCUUGCCACUCCUUAUUCCAUAGUCCAUCAAAUCAUUACCCAAAACUUGAAAACUUCACAACACAAAACUUAACAGAAAACUCGUGAGCUCCGUUAGAGAAAGAAAACAAAACACAACUUCAAGGUACUGUAAUGAACUAAUUCUAUAUUUAUAUUGGUGUUAAACCUACUGUAUUCCAACUUCUCUAUGGUUAAUAAAUUAUUUUACUAGCCAUAGAUUCAUCAAAAUAAGCAAACAACACACGAAAAACAGAAUCUAUCAAAAACAGAACAAUCUGUAGUAAUCUGUAGCUAACGCAAACUUAUGGAACCCCAAAAAUUCUAAAAUACAUUUAAGGACGUGAGGAAUUUAUCUAUUAAUCAUCUUCAAAAAGAAUUAACUAAAUAGUACUAUCCAAAUAAAAAUGGCAGCAAUUCUCGUGAGCGCUAAAGUUUCUGUUUUUUACAGCAAGAUCAAAAAGACUUUCCCCAAGUCUUCCCAACGGUUCUACUUGGCACAAACACUAAUUAAAACAUAAAAACUCAAUAAUAACAGAGGCUAGAUAAAUUAUUUAUUGCUAAACAGGAGCAAAAAGCAAGGAACAAAAAUAAAAAUUGGGUUGCCUCCCAACAAGCGCUAUCGUUUAACGCCCCUAGCUAGGCAUGAUGAUUUCAAUGAUGCUCAGAUAAAAGAUAAGAAUUGAAACAUAAAGAGAGCAUCAUGAAGAAUAUUACUAGCACAUUUAAGUCUAACCCACUUCCUAUGCAUAGGAAUUUUGUGAGCAAACAACUUAUGGGAACAAUAAUCAACUAGCAUAGGAAGGCAAAACAAGCAUAACUUCAAAACUUUAAGCACAUAGAGAUGAAACUUGAUAUUAUUGCAAUUCCUACAAGCGUAUGUUCUUCCUUCAUAGUAAUUUUCAUUAGCAUCAUGAAUGAAUUCAACAACAUAACCAGCACCUAAAGAAUUCUUUUCAUGAUCUACAAGCAUAGAAAUUUUAUUACACUCCACAGAAGCAAAAUUCUUCUCAUGAAUAAUAGUGGGAGCAAACUCAACAAAAUAAUUAUCAUUUGAGGCAUAAUCCAAUUGAAAACUAAAAUCAUGAUGACAAGUUUCAUGGAGAUCAUUAUUAUUUAUAGCAUACAAGUCAUCACAAUAAUCAUCAUAGAUAGCAACUUUGUUCUCAUAAUCAAUUGGAACCUCUUCCGAAAUAGUGGAUUCAUCCCGAAAUAAAGUAAUGACCUCUCCAAAUCCACUUUCAUCAAUAUAAUCAUCAUAAAUAGGAGGCAUGCUUUCAUCAUAAUAAACUUGCUCAUCAAAACUUGGGGGACAAAAAAUAUCAUCUUCAUCAAACAUAGCUUCCCCAAGCUUUUGGCUUUGCAUAUCAUUAGCAUCAUGGAUAUUCAAGGAAUUCAUACUAAAAACAUUGUAAUCAUGCUCAUCAUUCAAAUACUUAGUGCCAAACAUUUUAAUGCAUUCUUGUUCUAACACUUUGGCACAAUUUUCCUUUCCAUCAUACUCACGAAAGAUAUUAAAAAGGUGAAGUGUAUGAGGCAAACUCAAUUGCAUAAUUUUUUUGUAGUUUUCUUUUAUAAACUAAACUAAUGCUAAAACAAGAAACAAAAAGAUUAGAUUGCAAGAUCUAAAGAUAUACCUUCAAGCGCUAACCUCCCCGGCAACGGUGCCAGAAAAGAGCUUGAUGUCUACUGCACAACCUUCUUCUUGUAGACGUUGUUGGGCCUCCAAGUGCAGAGGUUUGUAGGACAGUAGCAAAUUUCCCUCAAGUGGAUGACCUAAGGUUUAUCAAUCCGUAGGAGGCAUAGGAUGAAGAUGGUCUCUUUCAAGCAACCUUGCAACCAAAUAACAAAGAGUCUCUUGUGUCCCCAACACACCCAAUACAAUGGUAAAUUGUAUAGGUGCACUAGUUCGGUGAAGAGAUAGUGAUACAAGUGCAAUAUGGAUGGUAGAUAUAUGUUUUUGUAAUCUGAAAAUAUAAAAACAGCAAGGUAAGUAAUGAGAAAAGUGAGCACAAACAGUAUUGCAAUGCUAGGAAACAAGGCCUAGGGUUCAUACUUUCACUAGUGCAAGUUCUCUCAACAAUAAUAACAUAAUUGGAUCACAUAACUAUCCCUAAACAUGCAACAAAGAGUCACUCCAAAGUCACUAAUAGCGGAGAACAAACAAAGAGAUUAUGGUAGGGUACGAAACAAUUUCAAACUUAUUCUUUCUGAUUGAUCUAUUCAAGAGUCCGUAGUAAAAUAACAUGAAGCUAUUCUUUCCGUUCAAUCUAUCAUAGAGUUCGUACUAGAAUAACACCUUAAGACACAAAUCAACCAAAACCCUAAUGUCACCUAGAUACUACAAUGUCACCUCAAGUAUCCGUGGGUAUGAUUAUACGAUAUGCAUCACACAAUCUCAGAUUCAUCUAUUCAAGCCAACACAAAGUAUUUCAAAGAGUGCCCCAAAGAUUCUACCGGAGAGUCAAGACGAAAACGUGUGCCAACCCGUAUGCAUAGGUUCAUGGGCGGAACCCACAAGUUGAUCACCAAAACAUACAUCAAGUGAAUCAAAUCCUUAAAGACUCAAUCCGAUAAGAUAACUUCAAAAGGAAAACUCAAUCCAGUACAAGAGAGUAGAGGGGGAGAAACAUCAUAAGAUCCAACUAUAAUAGCGAAGCUCGCGAUACAUCAAGAUCGUACCGGGAUGAUGAAGAUGGCCACCGGAGAGGGAUUUCCCCCUCCGGCAGGGUGCCAGAACGGGUCUAGAUUGGUUUUCGGUGUCUACGGAGGCUUCUGGUGGCGGAACUCCCGAUCUAUUCUGCUCCCCGAUGUUUUUAGGGUAUAUGGGUAUAUAUGGGAGGAAGAAGUACGUCGGUGGACCUCCGGGCUGUCCACGAGGCAGGGGGGCGCGCCCAGGGGUGGGCGCGUCCCCCACCCUCAUGGGCAGCCUGGGACUCUCAUGGUCCAACUCGGAUACUCUGUGGGCUUCUUCUGGUCCAAAAAUAAGUUCCAUGAAGUUUCAGGUCAAUUGGACUCCGUUUGAUUUUCCUUUUCUGCGAUACUCUAAAACAAGAAAAAAACAGAAACUGGCACUGGGCUCUAGGUUAAUAGGUUAGUCCCAAAAUCAUAUAAAAUAGCAUAUAAAUGCAUAUAAAACAUCCAAGGUUGAUAAUAUAAUAGCAUAGAACAAUCAAAAAUUAUAGAUACGUUGGAGACGUAUCAGCAUCCCCAAGCUUAAUUCAUGCUCGUCCUCGAGUAGGUAAAUGAUAAAAAUAGAAUUUUUAAUGUGGAAUGCUACCUAACAUAUUUAUCCAUGCAGUUCUCUUUAUUGUGGCAAGGAUAUUCAGAUCCAUAAGAUGCAAGACAAAAGUUUAAUAUUUACAUAAAAAUAAUAAUACUUCGGGCACACUAACCAAGUAAUCAUGUCUUCUCAAAAUAAAAUGGCCAAAGAAAGCUAUCCCUACAAAAUCAUAUAGUCUGGCUAUGCUCUAUCUUCACCAAACAAAAUAUUUAAAUCAUGCACAACCCCGAUGACAAGCCAAGCAAUUGUUUCAUACUUUUGAUGUUCUCAAACUUUUUCAAUCUUCACGCAAUACAUGAGCGUGAGCCAUGGACAUAGCACUAUAGGUGGAAUAGAAUGGUGGUUGUGGAGAAGACAAAAAGGAGAAGAUAGUCUCACAUCAACUAGGCAUAUCAACGGGCUAUGGAGAUGCCCAUCAAUCUAUACCUACUAAUAAAGCAAGGUGUGUUUCUCCAAUUUUUUCAUCCGUUCACCGUCAAAAAGUUUUUCUUUCUAUCCGAGGUGGCACUAAACUUUUGUGCGUGUCUCCUCUAGAAAAGAAAAAAGAUUUAUCCAGAACACCGUCAUUGGGCCGCGCGCGCUCCGGCCCAACGAGCCUAGCCAAUUUACUAUUGCCCACACCGUUAGGAAGGCCUUAUUUAUCGCACGGUGCGAAGAAUAGUUAAAGUUUCGCACAGGGUGCCUAAGACUGGGUCGGCCCGUUUCCCCUUUUUUGUUGUUAUAUUUCUAUUUUUCUUUUUUCUGUUCCUUUCUAUUUCUCUUCCAUAUUUCUUCCUUUUUUCGGUAUUAUUUAAUUAUUUUUUAUGAAGUAAAAAUCUACAAAAAUAUUUCGAAUUUCACUAUUUUUUAAAAUAUUCAAAUAAUGGCCAGAAUUCUAAAUUUUGCUUCUAUAUUGAAUAAUGGUUGAAACUUUAAAAUUUCCCGUUUCCAAAUCUUCCCAAUAUUAAAAAUGAUCUCCUUUUUAAAAAUUACUUUUUCUUUUCCAAAAAAUCUUCAAGAUUUAUUUAUAAAAAUUACAUUUUAUAAAAUCUUCCAUAUUUUAAGCAAUUCUUGUUUUAGUGAAAUGUUCAAAAAUCAUAAAAAUGUCUGCGUGUAAAAUAUUUUGUAUUUUUUGAAUGUUCCCUUAAAACAAUUCAAAAAACCAAAAAAUAUUUGUGUUUUGUAAAAGUAGAUGUUUUCGUAAUAUUGUUUGUGAAUUUCAAAAACUAUUCAUGUUUCUAAUUGUGUUCGUGAUUUUCCUAAGAUAUUGGAAUUUGCAAAAGCAAUGUUCGCAUAUUUCUAAAAUUGUCCAGGAUUUAAAAAUUGUUAAUGUUUCCAAGAAUAUUCACCAAUUCAUAUUUUUUGAAUGUUCAAAAUAAUCAAAAAUAUUUCUGAUGUGACAUAGUAUGUUCUUAAAUAUUCGCAUUGGCCAUUAGUUAGCCGUGCACGUUCGUUCUUUGCUGGUUGACUAUAAAUGAAAGAAAUUGUGGACAUGUGCCAAUAAAUUAUGUUAUUUGGCUUUAGUUAGAACAAAAUUAUGGGCACUUGAGCACUAAAAUAAUCAAAGAGAAUAAAACCUCGAAAAGAAGGGACAUUCAUGCCUGAUUAUGCUCAUGAAACGGGAUUUACGCGCUGCAAUUAAUAGUCCACCCGGUUACGUUGUCGUAGCAUAGAGUGGUCGAAGCAACCAUGUCCCGAAGGUCGCUGCGUAGCAACCAAAUGAGGAGGUAGGCACAACCUUGAGAUGGAGGCGGACCCGGAGGAAAAAAGGCAUGAGUUGGGUGCUCGCCACCACGCCGACCAACCCAGUCACUAUCAAGAUUUCGCGUGUCAAACAUGUCUAGCGAGAAGACCAUAACUUAUUGCCCUGUCGCCUAUCAUUGUCGAAACCAUUUUUUUGGAUGACACAUCAAUUAUUUUUCCCAUUGCUUCUCGCAAAAAAAUAUCCCUUCUGUUGCAACGCACGGGCAUAUGUGCUAGUAGAUAUCAAUGUGAGUGAGUAGGGAUUGCCAUGCAACGGAUGCACUAGAGCUAUAAAUGUAUGAAAGCUCAACAAAAGAAACUAGUGGGUGUGCAUCCAACUCGCUUGCUCACGAAGACCUAGGGCAUUUUGAGGAAGCCCAUCAUUGGAAUAUACAAGCCAAGUUCUAUAAUGAAAGAUUCCCACUAGUAUAUGAAAGUGAUAACAUAGGAGACUCUCUAUCAUGAAGACCAUGGUGCUACUUUGAAGCACAAGUGUGGUAAAAGGAUAGUAGCAUUGCUCGUUCUCUCUUUUUCUCUCUCUUUUUUUAUUUUUAUUUUUUUAUUUGGGUCUUUUCUCUUUUUUUAUGGCCUCUUUUUUUUUAUAUUUAUUUUUCGUCUAGAGUCUCAUCCCGACUUAUGGGGGAAUCAUAGUCUCCAUCAUCCUUUCCUCACUGGGACAAUGCUCUAAUAAUGAUGAUCAUCACACUUUUAUUUACUUAAACUCAAGAAUUACAACUCAAUACUUAGAACAAAAUACGACUCUAUAUGAACGCCUCCGGCGGUGUACCGGGAUGUGCAAUGACUCAUGAGUGACAUGGAUGGAAGAAUUAUGAAUGGUGGCUUUGCCACAAAUACGAUGUCAACUACAUGAUCAUGCAAAGCAAUAUGACAAUGAUGGAGCGUUUCAUAAUAAACGGAAUGGUGGAAAGUUGCAUGGCAAUAUAUCUCAGAAUGGCUAUGGAAAUGCCAUAAUAGGUAGGUAUGGUGGCUAUUUUGAGGAAGGUAUAUGGUGGGUUUAUGAUACCGGCGAAAGGUGCACGGUAUUAGAGAGGCUAGCAAUGGUGGAAGGGUGAGAGUGUGUAUAAUCCAUGGACUCAACAUUAGUCAUAAAGAAAUCACAUACUUAUUGAAAAAAUCUAUUAGUUAUCAAAACAAAGUACUACGCACAUGCUCCUAGGGUGAUAGAUUGGUAGUAAAAGACCAUCGCUCGUCCCCGACCGCCACUCAUAAGGAAGACAAUCAAUAAAUAAAUCAUGCUCCGACUUCGUCACAUAACGGUUCACCAUAUGUGCAUGCUACGGGAAUCACAAACUUCAACACAAGUAUUUCUCAAAUUCACAACUACUCAACUAGCAUGACUCUAAUAUCACCAUCUCCAUAUCUCAAAACAAUUAUCAAGUAUCAAACUUCUCUUAGUAUUCAAUGCACUUCAUAUGAAUGUUUUUUAUUAUAUCCCUCUUGGAUGCCCAUCAUAUUAGGACUAGUUUCAUAACCAAAGCAAACUACCAUGCUGUUCUAAAGACUCUCAAAAUAAUAUAAGUGAAGCAUGAGAGUUCAUCUAUUUCUAUAAAAUAAAACCACCACCGUGCUAUAAAAGGAUAUAAGUGAAGCACUAGAGCAACAACAAACUACUCCGAAAGAUAUAAGUGAAGAUCAAUGAGUAGUCGAAUAAUUAUGCAACUAUAUGAAGACUCUCUAACAUUUAAGAAUUUCAGAUCUUGGUAUUUUAUUCAAACAGCAAGCAAAACUAAAUAAAAUAAAAUGACGCUCCAAGCAAAACACAUAUCAUGUGGUGAAUAAAAAUAUAGCUCCAGUAAAGUUACCGAUGAACGAAGACGAAAGAGGGGAUGACUUCUAGGGUAUCCCCAAGCUUAGGCUCUUGGUUUUCCUUGAAUAUUACUUUGGGGUACCUGGGGCAUCCCCAAGCUUAGGCUAUUGCCACUCCUUAUUCCAUAGUCCAUUGAAUCUUUACCCAAAACUUGAAAACUUCACAACACAAAACUUACAGAAAACUCGUGAGCUCCGUUAGAGAAAGAAAACAAAACACAACUUCAAGGUAUUGUAAUCAACUCAUUCUCUAUUUAUAUUGGUGUUAAACCUACUGUAUUCCAACUUCUCUAUGGUUUAUAAACUAUUUUACUAGCCAUAGAUUCAUCAAAAUAGGCAAACAACACAUGAAAAACAGAAUCUGUCAAAAACAGAACAAUCUGUAGUAAUCUGUAGCUAACGCAAACUUAUGGAACCCCAAAAAUUCUAAAAUACAUUUCUGGACGUGAGGAAUUUAUCUAUUAAUCAUCUUCAAAAAGAAUUGACUAAAUAGCACUAUCCAAAUAAAAAUGGCAGCAAUUCUCGUGAGCGCUAAAGUUUCUGUUUUUUACAGCAAGAUCAAAUAGACUUUCCCCAAGUCUUCCCAACGGUUCUACUUGGCACAAACACUAACUAAAACAUAAAAACUCAAUAAUAACAGAGGCUAUAUAAAUUAUUUAUUGCUAAAAAGGAGCAAAAAGCAAGGAACAAAAACAAAAAUUGGGUUGCCUCCCAACAAGCGCUAUCGUUUAACGCCCCUAGCUAGGCAUGAUGAUUUCAAUGAUGCUCACAUAAAAGAUAAGAAUUGAAACAUAAAGAGAGCAUCAUGAAGAAUAUGACUAGCACAUUUAAGUCUAAGCCACUUCCUAUGCAUAGGGAUUUUGUGAGAAAACAACUUAUGGGAACAAUAAUCAACUAGCAUAGGAAGGCAAAACAAGCAUAACUUCAAAAACUUUAAGCACAUAGAGAGGAAACUUGAUAUUAUUGCAAUUCCUACAUGCAUAUGUUCUUCCCUCAUAGUAAUUUUCAGCAGCAUCAUGAAUGAAUCCAAUAAUAUAACCAGCAUCUAAAGCAUUCUUUUCAUGAUCUACAAGCAUAGAAAUUUUAUUACUCUCCACACAAGCAAAAUUCUUCUCAUGAAUAAUAGUGGGAGCAAACUCAACAAAAUAAUUAUCAUUUGAGGCAUAAUCCAAUUGAAAACUAAAAUCAUGAUGACAAGUUUCAUGGAUAUCAUUAUUCUUUAUAACAUUCAGGUCAUCACAAUAAUCAUCAUAGAUAGCAACUUUGUUCUCAUAAUCAAUUGGAACCUCUUCCGAAAAAGUGGAUUCAUCACAAAAUAAAGUCAUGACCUCUCCAAAUCCACUUUCAUCAAUAUAAUCAUCAUAAAUAUGAGGCAUGCUUUCAUCAUAAUAAAUUUUCUCAUCAAAACUUAGGGGACAAAGAAAUUGGUGACAAAAAAUAUCAUCUUCAUCAAACAUAGCUUCCCCAAGUGGAUGACCUAAGGUUCAUCAAACAUAGCUUCCCCAACUUGGGGGACACAAAAGAGCUUGAUGUCUACUACACAACCUUCUUCUUGUAGACAUUGUUGGGCCUCCAAGUGCAGAGGUUUGUAGGACAGUAGCAAAUUUCCAUCAAGUGGAUGACCUAAGGUUUAUCAAUCCGUAGGAGGCGUAGGAUGAAGAUGGUCUCUCUCAAGCAACCCUGCAGCCAAAUAACAAAGAGUCUCUUGUGUCCCCAACACACCCAAUACAAUGGUAAAUUGUAUAGGUGCACUAGUUCGGCGAAGAGAUGGUGAUACAAGUGCAAUAUGGAUGGUAGAUAUAUGUUUUUGUAAUCUGAAAAUAUAAAAACAGCAAGGUAACUAAUGAUAAAAGUGAGCACAAACGGUAUUGCAAUGCUAGGAAACAAGGCCUAGGGUUCAUACUUUCACUAGUGCAAGUUCUCUCAACAAUAAUAACAUAAUUGGAUCACAUAACUAUCCCUCAACAUGCAACACGAAACCACCUCAAAGUUAUUCUUUCUGAUCGAUCUAUUCAAAAUUCCGUAGUAAAAUAACAUGAAGCUAUUCUUUCCGUUCAAUCUAUCAUAGAGUUCGUACUAGAAUAACACCUUAAGACACAAAUCAACCAAAACCCUAAUGUCACCUAGAUACUCCAAUGUCACCUCAAGUAUCUGUGGGUAUGAUUAUACGAUAUGCAUCACACAAUCACAGAUUCAUCUAUUCAAGCCAACACAAAGUACUUCAAAGAGUGCCCCAAAUAUUUUACCGGAGAGUCAAGACGAAAAUGUGUGCCAACCCCUAUGCAUAGGUUCAUGGGCGGAACUCGCAAGUUGAUCACCAAAACAUACAUCAAGUGAAUCAAAUCCUUAAAGACUCAAUCCAAUAAGAUAACUUCAAAGGGAAAACUCAAUCCGUUACAAGAGAGUAGAGGGGGAGAAACGUCAUAAGAUCCAACUAUAAUAGCAAAGCUCGCGAUACAUCAAGAUCGUACCACCUCAAGAACACGAGAGAGAGAGAGAGGUCAAACACAUAGCUACUGGUACAUACUCUCAGCCCCGAGGGAGAACUACUCCCUCCUCGUCAUGGAGAGCACCGGGAUGAUGAAGAUGGCCACCGGAGAGGGAUUUCCCCCUCCGGCAGGGUGCCAAAACGGGUCUAGAUUGGUUUUCGGUGGCUACGGAGGCUUCUAGCGGCGGAACUCCCGAUCUAUUCUGCUCCUCGAUGUUUUUAGGGUAUAUGGGUAUAUAUGGGAGGAAGAAGUACGUCGGUGGACCUCCGGGCUGUCCACGAGGCAGGGGGCGCGCCCGGGGGGGGUGGGCGCGCCCCCAUCCUCGUGGGCAGCCCGGGACUCUCCUGGUCCAACUUCGAUACUCCCUGGGCUUCUCCUGGUCCAAAAAUUAAGUUUCGUGAACUUUCAGGUCAAUUGGACUCCGUUUGAUUUUCCUUUUCUGCGAUACUCUAAAACAAGGAAAAACAGAAACUGGCACUGGGCUCUAGGUUAAUAGGUUAGUCCCAAAAAUCAUAUAAAAUAGCAUAUAAAUUAUCCAAGGUUGAUAAUAUAAUAGCGUGGAACAAUCAAAAAUUAUAGAUACGUUGGAGACGUAUCAGCGUGUCGCGGUCCACGCGGCUUUCGCCACCGCCCACCCUAACAGAAGCGCUAGGGCGCGUGCAACUUCUCCUCGACUCCCCCCUGUUGCGGAGAAGCUUGACGAGUGUUGGGCCACCAUCCGAAGCCUCAUUAGCUUCGCCAAUAAAGACGAGUCGCUCCUGCUACCUCUUGAGCACUGCGUUGGUUUUCCCCGAAGAGGAAGAGAUGAUGCAGCAAAGUAGCGUAAGUAUUUCCCUCAGUUUUUGAGAACCAAGGUAUCAAUCCAGUAGGAGGCUACGCGCGAGUCCAUCGCACCUGCACAAAACAAAUAAAUCCUCGCAACCAACGCGAUAAGGGGUUGUCAAUCCCUACACGGCCACUUAUGAGAGUGAUAUCUGAUAGAUAUGAUAAGAUAAUAUUUUUGGUAUUUUUAUGAUAAAGAUGCAAAGUAAAACAAAAGAAAAGUAAAAAAGCAAAGGAAAUAACUAAGUAUUGGAAGAUUAAUAUGAUGAAGAUAGACCUGGGGGCCAUAGGUUUCACUAGUGGCUUCUCUCAAGAGCAUAGGUAUUUUAUGGUGGGUGAACAAAUUACUAUUGAGCAAUUGACAGAAUUGAGCAUAGUUAUGAGAAUAUCUAGGUAUGAUCAUGUAUAUAGGCAUCACGUCCGAGACAAGUAGACCUACUCCUGCCUGCAUCUACUACUAUUACUCCACUCAUCGACCGCUAUCCAGCAUGCAUCUAGAGUAUUAAGUUCAUGAAAACAGAGUAACACCUUAAGCAAGAUGACAUGAUGUAGAGGGAUAAACUCAUGCAAUAUGAUGAAAACCCCAUCUUGUUAUCCUCGGUGGCAACAAUACAAUACGUGCCUUGCUGCCCCUACUGUCACUGGGAAAGGACACCGCAAGAGUGAACCCAAAGCUAAGCACUUCUCCCAUUGCAAGAAAGAUCAAUCUAGUAGGCCAAACCGAACUGAUAAUUCAAAGAGACUUGCAAAGAUAACCAAUCGUACAUAAAAGAAUUCAGAGAAGAUUCAAAUAUUGUUCAUAGAUAGACUUGAUCGUAAACCCACAAUUCAUCGGUCUCAACAAACACACCACAAAAUGAAGAUUACAUCGAAUAGAUCUCCACAAGAGAGGGGGAGAACAUUGUAUAGAGAUCCAAAAAGAGAGAAGAAGCCAUCUAGCUAAUAAUUAUGGACCCGUAGGUCUGAGGUAAACUACACACACUUCAUCGGAGGGGCUAUGGUGAUGAUGUAGGAGCCCUCCGUGAUCGAUGCCCCCUCCGUGAUCGAUGCCCCCUCCGGCGGAGCUCCGGAACAGGCUCCAAGAUGGGAUCUCAUGGAUACAGAAAGUUGCGGCGGUGGAAUUAGGGUUUUUGCUCCAUAUCUGAUCAUUUGGGGGUACGUAGGUAUAUAUAGGAGGAAGGAGUAUGUCGGUGGAGCAACAGGGGGCCCACGAGGGUGGAGAGCGCGCCUUGGGGGGGUAGGCGCGCCCCCUACCUCGUGGCCUCCUCCUUUGUUUCUUGACGUAGGGUCCAAGUCUCCUGGAUCAUGUUCGGUGAGAAAAUCACGUUCCCGAAGGUUUCAUUCCGUUUGGACUCCGUUUGAUAUUCCUUUUCUUCGAAACCCUAAAAUAGGCACAAAAAAACAAUUCUGGACUGGGCCUCCGGUUAAUAGGUUAGUCCCCAAAAUAAUAUAAAAGUGGAUAAUAAAGCCCAAUAAUGUCCAAAACAGUAGAUAAUAUAGCAUGGAGCAAUCAAAAAUUAUAGAUACGUUGGAGACGUAUCAAGCAUCCCCAAGCUUAAUUCCUGCUCGUCCUCGAGUGGGUAAAUGAUAAAAAUAGAAUUUUUGAUGUGGAGUGCUACUUGGCAUAAUUUUAAUGUAAUUCUUCUUAAUUGUGGUAUGAAUAUUCAGAUCCGAAAGAUUCAAGAUAAAAGUUUAAUAUUGACAUAAAAAUAAUAAUACUUCAAGCAUACUAACAAAGCAAUCAUGUCUUCUCAAAAUAACAUGGUCAAAGAAAGUUAUCCCUACAAAAUCAUAUAGUCUGGCUAUGCUCUAUCUUCAUCACACAGAGUAUUUAAAUCAUGCACAACCCCGAUGACAAGCCAAGCAAUUGUUUCAUACUUUUGAUAUUCUCAAACUUUUUCAAUCUUCACGUAAUACAUGAGCGUGAGCCAUGGAUAUAGCACUAUAAGUGGAAUAGAAUGGUGGUUGUGGAGAAGACAAAAGGGAGAAGAUAAUCUCACAUCAACUAGGCGUAUCAACGGGCCAUGGAGAUGCUCAUCAAUAGAUAUCAAUGUGAGUGAGUAGGGAUUGCCAUGCAACGGAUGCACUAUAGCUAUAAGUAUAUGAAAGCUCAAUAGAAGAAACUAAGUGGGUGUGCAUCCAACUUGCUUGCUCAUGAAGACCUAAGGGCAUUUUGAGGAAGCCCAUCAUUGGAAUAUACAAGCUAAGUUCUAUAAUGAACAAUUCCCACUAGUAUAUGAAAGUGAUAACAUAGGAGACUCUCUAUCAUGAAUAUCAUGGUGCUACUUUGAAGCACAACUGUGGUAAAAGGAUAGUAACAUUGUCCCUUCUCUUUUUUUCUCUCAUUUUUUUAUUUGGGCCUUUUCUCCUUUUUAUGGCCUAUUUUCUUUUUUUUUGUCCGGAGUCUCAUCCUGACUUGUGGGGGAAUCAUAGUCUCCAUCAUCCUUUCUUCACUAGGAUAAUGCUCUAAUAAUGAUGAUCAUCACACUUUUAUUUUCUUACAACUAAACAAUUACAACUCAAUACUUAGAACAAGAUAUGACUCUAUAUGAAUUCCUCCGGCAGCGUACCGGGAUAUGCAAUGAAUCAAGAGUGACAUGUAUGAAAGAAUUAUGAAUGGUGGCUUUGCCACAAAUACGAUGUCAACUACAUGAUCAUGCUAAGCAAUAUGACAAACAUGGAGUGUGUCAUAAUAAACGGAAAGGUGGAAAGUUGCAUGGCAAUAUAUCUCGGAAUGGCUAUGGAAAUGCCAUAAUAGGUAGGUAUGGUGAUUGUUUUGAGGAAGGUAUAUGGUGGGUGUAUGAUACCGGAGAAAGGUGCGCGGUAUUAGAGAGGCUAGCAACGGUGGAAGGAAGAAAGGUGCAUAUAAUCCAUGGACUCAACAUUAGUCAUAAAGAACUCUUAUACUUAUUGGAAAAAUCUACAAGUUAUUAAAGCAAAGUAUUACGCGCAUGCUCCUAGGGGGAUAGAUUGGUAGGAAAAUACCAUCGCUCGUCCCCGACCGCCACUCAUAAGGAAGACAAUUAAAAAAUAAAUCAUGCUCCGACCUCAUCACAUAACGGUUCACCAUACGUGCAUGCUACGGGAAUCACAAACCUUAACACAAGUAUUUCUCAAAUUCAAAACUACUCAACUAGCAUAACUUUAAUAUCACCAUCUUCAUAUCUCAAAACAAUUAUCAAGCAUCAAACUUCUCGUAGCAUUCAACACACUCAUAAGAAAGUUUUUACUAUUCUUAAAUACCAAGCCUAUUAGGAUUAUUUAAGCAAAUUGCCAUGCUAUCUAAGACUCUCAAAAUAAUCUAAGUGAAGCAUGAGAGAUCAAUAGUUUAUAUAAAACAAAUCCACCACCAUGCUCUAAAAGAUAUAAGUGAAGUACUAGAGCAAAACUAUAUAACUCAAAUGAUAUAGGCGAAGCACAUAGAGUAUUCUAACAAAUUCCAAAUCAUGUAUGGCUCUCUCAAAAGGUGUGUACAGCAAGGAUGAUUGUGGUAAACUAAAAAGUAAAGACUCAAAUCAUACAAGAUGCUCCAAGCAAAACACAUAUCAUGUGGUGAAUAAAAAUAUAGCUCCAAGUAAAGUUACUGAUAGAAGUAGACGAAAAGAGGGGAUGCCUUCCGGGGCAUCCCCAAGCUUUGGCUUUUAGGUGUCCUUAGAUUAUCUUGGGGGUGCCAUGGGCAUCCCCAAGCUUAGGCUCUUUCCACUCCUUGUUCCAUAAUCCAUCAAAUCUUUAUCCAAAACUUGAAAACUUCAUAACACAAAACUUAAAGUAGAAAAUCUCGUGAGCUCCGUUAGCGAAAGAAAACAAAAGACCACUUCAAGGUAAUGUAGUGAACUCAUUCUUUAUUUAUAUUGGUGUUAAACCUACUGUAUUCCAACUUCACUAUGGUUUAUAAACUAUUUUACUAGCCAUAGAUUCAUCAAAAUAAGCAAACAACACACGAAAAACAGAAUCUGUCAAAAACAGAAUAGUUUGUAGUAAUCUGUAGCUAGCGCAAGAUCUGGAACCCCAAAAAUUCUAAAAUAAAUUGCUGGACAUGAGGAAUUUAUAUUUUAAUCAUCUGCAAAAAUAAUCAACUAAAUAUCACUUUCUAAAUAAAAAUGGCAACAGAUCUCGUGAGCGCUAAAGUUUCUGUUUUUUACAGCAAGAUAUCAAGACUUUCCCCAAGUCUUCCCAACGGUUCUACUUGGCACAAACACUAAUUAAACACAAAAAAACACAACAAAAAUAGAGGCUAGGUAAAUUAUUUAUUACUAAACAGGAGAAAAAAGCAAGGAAUAAAAAUAAAAUUGGGUUGCCUUCCAACAAGCGCUAUCGUUUAACACCCCUAGCUAGGCAUAAAAAGUAAGGAUAGAUCUAGGUAUUGCCAUCUUUGGUAGGCAAUCCAUAAGUGGCUCUCACAAUAGAUUCAUAAGGUAAUUUAAUUUUCUUUUUAGGAAAGUGUUCCAUGCCUUUCCUUAACGGAAAUUGGAAUCUAAUAUUUCCUUUCUUCAUAUCAAUAAUUGCACCAAUCGUACUAAGGAAAUGUCUACCAAGAAUAAUAGGACAUGAAGGAUUGCAAUCUAUGUCAAGAACAAUAAAAACUACGGGUACAUAAUUCCUAUCUAUCAUAUACUUAAAACAAAAGCAAAAUAAGACACCACAUUCUUCCACAUAAGCUAAAAAUAUAUAAACCGUUGAUCUAUAAUAUUUACGGCUGAGAUUUAAAAUUAUUACGUUACAUACCUAAAGUACAUAUGUUGAACCGACACAUAAGAAGUUGCUACCUAAACUCUAGGACAUGUUCCUUCAAAAAAAACUAACAGACAUGUACAACUCUAGGACACGUUCCUAAAAAAAGACUAAUGAAAAAAAACCUGAUACGUGUACGAGCUGGUAAAAGAAAUACGUCAUUGCGCACAGGGCACAGAUAGCUAGAUAGCUAACCGGCAACUCAAUAGGAAAAAAAGGUAGCCAAAUCCGAUUCACAUUGACUACGUGACCACGUAAUUAGAAAGUCCACAUCAUGAAAGUCAAUAAAAAAACAAUGCGCCAAAACAAAUUAAGUCCAACUGGUAUGCACACUUCUGUAUACAUCCGCUUAUAUAUCCUUGCUCUGGCCACUGCAAUUUUCUAUGAUAUAUGCACGUUUCUUUUUUCUUCACAUAUAUUUCCUUUUUAAAAUAUUACCAGUUAAAAUAAAUUAUUUUGAAAAUAAAUAUUUGCAGCAGGAAAAAAAAAGCUCCCAGUUUUUUUGAAAAACUAAUCAUAUUUUAUCACGGUUUAGAAUGAAAUUACAGUAUAGUUUACUCUCCAAAAUUCAAAUUACCACAUAUUACAAUGUAUGUUUUUGUGUAAUACAUCUAUGUAAAUAUAUAUUAUGUAUUUUUUUAUUUCGAGCAAACGUAGGAAAAGAAAAGAUCCCAAAUUUCACAAAUUAAAAAUCAAAUGAAAAUCAUUAUGUUUUUGAAUAAAAUUCAAGUAUAGUCGUGGAUGAUCUGAAUAUAUACACUGACCCAUGAGUUGAUCGGCUACAAGUCCGCAAUGCACAAUCACGUUCAAACCUGCAUCACGAUGAAAGUUGUCCAUCUCCAUGAGAUGAAGAAUAUCAUCGGCAUCCUGGACAAGAUGACGAGAAGCUCAUGCGGAUGGUAACACCACCGAUUCUGACGGGACUACUGGCACCACUAGCAUGAUCAACAAUCACUUCGAGAAUGAUAAUAGUAGAUACCACAAGCAGUGUCAGGAAAGAGCAGCCUGAGAAGGCGAAUAUCACGAUGAGAACGAGUGAGGUCCAAGAAGGCCGCGGGUAAGCAAGGAGGGGUCAUCUGCCGUGUAGGUGCUGUAGAGCUAGCUUGCAACACUGGCCAUGCAUGGUGUGCUGGAGGAGCAAUAGGUGGCCUAUGGGCACCGAGUAACAGCUAUGGCCACUACGUCUCAAGUGGGAGCGGUUCUGGUCCGUCAGUUUAAGAGAAUAUCAUAGCUUCAUGGCAAAAUAGGCAUGGCGAGGAGCAAAGAAUCCAAAAAACAACCUACAUAUAUUUAAGCAGUGUAACUACACCGAAGUAGCACUUUCAAAAAAACUACACCGAAGUAGCCACACAAUCAAUGCAUAGUAUAAUAUUAAUGAAUGAAGUUUUUUUCAUAAGUUGUACCCAGACCAUAUUCAGAGCCCAACUACUUCAAUCGCACGUGAGUUUGGAAAAUCAAACAAAGUAAUACUUCAAUCACAGACUUAUACUAUAAUUGUGUCAUAGUGACGGUUACGGUUGAAACCUGUCAAUUUAAGAGAAUGUCAUAGCUUCGUGGCAAAAAGGGCAUGGCGAAGAGCAAAGAAGCCAGGAAACAAUAUACAUAUAUUUAAACAAUGUAACUACACCGAAGUAGCCCCUGAAUGAAUACUUUGCAACAAUAUUAUAAUUGUUGAACCAACUUUUAGUGGCAUGCAACUAUUCAACAUUUUAUGGUAUACUAUGUUGGUUUCACCAUGCAGAAAAACAAAUACUCAAAUGCCAACAAAUGGUUGUCUAAAAUAUAUAAAUAGUAAAUAAUAAAGAUCUAGCCACGCAAAUGUGCGGGUGAACCCGCUAUUUUGCAACAAUAAGAACAUCAUUAAUGCGUGUCAAAUUGUUAAUUAGAUGGAUUACAUAGAUAAGAAUGUUAGAUUAAUGUGAAAUGUUAGAUAUGAAUUAGAUAGAAAAGUUAAAUAUUAAUGUCAAUUGUUAGAUGAAUNNNNNNNNNNNNNNNNNNNNNNNNNNNNNNNNNNNNNNNNNNNNNNNNNNNNNNNNNNNNNNNNNNNNNNNNNNNNNNNNNNNNNNNNNNNNNNNNNNNNNNNNNNNNNNNNNNNNNNNNNNNNNNNNNNNNNNNNNNNNNNNNNNNNNNNNNNNNNNNNNNNNNNNNNNNNNNNNNNNNNNNNNNNNNNNNNNNNNNNNNNNNNNNNNNNNNNNNNNNNNNNNNNNNNNNNNNNNNNNNNNNNNNNNNNNNNNNNNNNNNNNNNNNNNNNNNNNNNNNNNNNNNNNNNNNNNNNNNNNNNNNNNNNNNNNNNNNNNNNNNNNNNNNNNNNNNNNNNNNNNNNNNNNNNNNNNNNNNNNNNNNNNNNNNNNNNNNNNNNNNNNNNNNNNNNNNNNNNNNNNNNNNNNNNNNNNNNNNNNNNNNNNNNNNNNNNNNNNNNNNNNNNNNNNNNNNNNNNNNNNNNNNNNNNNNNNNNNNNNNNNNNNNNNNNNNNNNNNNNNNNNNNNNNNNNNNNNNNNNNNNNNNNNNNNNNNNNNNNNNNNNNNNNNNNNNNNNNNNNNNNNNNNNNNNNNNNNNNNNNNNNNNNNNNNNNNNNNNNNNNNNNNNNNNNNNNNNNNNNNNNNNNNNNNNNNNNNNNNNNNNNNNNNNNNNNNNNNNNNNNNNNNNNNNNNNNNNNNNNNNNNNNNNNNNNNNNNNNNNNNNNNNNNNNNNNNNNNNNNNNNNNNNNNNNNNNNNNNNNNNNNNNNNNNNNNNNNNNNNNNNNNNNNAUUGUGAGUAAAUGCUUAGUUGAAUUAAUAGAACUAGUUUAUUUAGUUGAAUUAAUAGAAUUAAUAAGUGUUUAAUGUUUCACCUAUAUAUGAACAUAUGUUAGAUAUUAAUGUCAAAUGUUAGAUGAAUUAGAUAUAAAUUAUAUGUUAGAUAUAUAUUAACAGAACUAGUUGAAUUAAUAGAACUAAUAAGUGUUUAAUGUUUCACCUAUGAACAUAAGAAUGUCGCCUGACGACGAACACGAUUUUGUUAUGUGCAAAUACUGCGAAGACCAGCGCGGCCUGUGUGGCAGAAAUUUUCUAGUUGAUGAUAGGCGCUUCAGCAUCAAGCUGGAUGAGAACUUCGAAGUGGAUACAGUAAGUCAGAACGACAAGUCUUUUUUCAUAAUUAAGCAUGACUUAUGCUUCAUUUGCUUCAACUUUUAAUUUUAUUUUUUUCACUAUUUUACUAGCGUAUCCCCUGCCAUGCAAGAAUUUUUGUCUUCAAUAAGAUAGGUUUCAGUCCUAACAAAACUAUGGAGGUAAAAAAAGUUUACUUGAAGACCGAGCAUGGUUAUAACUUCAACGUCAAAUUAUAUAAUGCGGACACAUACACCUAUUUUGAAUGCAAAACUUGGCAAGCACUAUGCAAUGCUUAUGCAUUUGAGCCUGAUAUGGUUAUCACCUUUGAUAUUCGUCCGGAAAAUGAUAUUGAAGGUAAUAGAGACAUCUGGGUCGAUGUGCAGACGCCUCCAGUUCUACCAUUAUGUGAUUUUCUCAACCAUAUUUAUGUCUUCGAUAUUGUUUAUUCAAAAAGAGUUGACAAGUAAUUUAUAUUGACAGUUUGUUUCCAAUCAAGCAAACAUGUCCGGCGCUUGGUAGACAGGACCGCCCACUGUCCCGAGGCUGAACUAAACUGCGAGGAGACAAGUCAUUAUGUUUCAUGACUUGAGGAUCUUGAUGCCAUCAAGACAAUUUUUUUUCCUGCACUUAGAAAUGUUAGUACUCAAAAUGUGCGACCAAUAAUGUUCGCACUACUGGGAAAAGGCCUACUAAUGGCGCACCAGUUUUGCGUACUAAUGGCGCACUACUGGUAAUGGCGCACCAAUAUGCCUAGAGGUGCGCCAUUACUAUCUGACUUAGUAAUGACGCACCACAUAGAAGUGCACCAUUAGUAAUAAUUUUUUUAAUUUUUUUUCAAUUUUUUUUAAAAAAAUCAAUUUUCUUAUUUUUUCUUAAUCUCGGGUCACUAUGGCUUAAUCUCGCACCAGUUUUGCGUACUAAUGGCACACGCACUACUGGUGCGCCAUUAGUAUCACGCCACUAGUAUUUUUUACUAAUGGCGCACCACUGAUGCGUCAUUAGUAUACCAGAUACUAAUGGCACACCAGUAGUGCGCCAUUAGUAUGCCUAGAGGUGUGCCAUUACUAUCUAACUUAGUAAUGGCGCACCACAUAGAAGUGCGCCAUUAGUAAUAAUUUUUUUAUUUUAAAAAAGAAAAUCAAUUUUUUUAUUUUUUUUCUUAAUCUCGGGUCACUAUGGCUUAAUCUCGCACCAGUUUUGCGCACGCCACUAGUAUUUUUUUACUAAUGGCACACCAUUGAUGUGCCAUUAGUAUACCAGAUACUAAUGGCGCACCAGUAGUGCGCCAUUAGUAUGCCUAGAGGUACGCCAUUACUAUCUGACUUAGUAAUGGUGCACCACAUAGAAGUGCGCCAUUAGUAAUAAUAUUUUUUUAAUUUUUUUAAUUUUUUUAUUUUUUUCAUUUUUUUAAAAAUAAUCAUUUUUUUAUUUUUUUCUUAAUCUCGGGUCACUAUGGCUUAAUCUCAAGUCAAUAUGCUUAAUCUUAGGUCAAAUCACACUUUGUGGUCAAACUUCCCGGAAGGUCACCGAUCCUCACACAAUCCAGCCCAAGCACGCUUAACUUCAUAGUUUUAUCCAACCCCAGCACCACCUCACUUCACAGGCACUUGUUAAUAUAUCUAUCAUAUCAAUCCUAUUAAACCUUGCUGAUGUUUACGACUUUGUUCAUGUUCAUGAGUAUGAUGAAAUUUUGAAAAAAUAUUUCAAACUUCCCGGUCAUAUUACAUAUCAUAUUUAGAAAAAUAAUUCAAAUUUUUUCUCGAAACCAAUUUUUUUCUGUUACUAGUGGCGCACCUAGCAUACGGUGCGCCACUAGUAAGUUUGAAUUUUUUUUGAUUUUUUUGCCUCCGGAUCUUAAAAGCCCCGUAACUUUUUUCUGUUAGGUUUUUGGGGAUUUUGAAAAAUUUUAACAGGGCUCCCCCGGUUAAAUUCGGAUGUAACUUUUCAAGUAGAUGAUUUUUCAUAAAAAAAACUUUUUAAUCCGAGUUCAUAUGCAAAAGUUAUGCCCAUUUUACAAAUUUCAGAGAGAUUUUGCAAAUAAAGUCGAAAUUCAUAUUUAUAAAUUUUCCCAACAACUAGACCACAUAUCACAUAGAAAACUUAUUUUCUUUUAUUUUUUUGACAUUUCCAUCAUUUUCUUUUAUUUUUUUAAAAACUGAAAAGGCGGUCCACUAGGGGUGCAUUCGAUACGUUUUGGGCCAAGUUAGUAAUGGCGCACCACACCCACGGUGCGCCAUUACUAGUUUUGAAAAAACAAUAAAACAAAUUCUGAUUUUUUUUAAAAAAAAACUUAGUAAUGGCGCACCAGUUGACAGUGCGCCAUUACUAGUUUUAACUAGUAAUGACGCACUGUCCACUGAUGCGCCAUUACUAGUUUGAAAAAAUAAAUAAAAAAAAUUGGAAAAAAGAUUUUUGAAAAUAACUUACUAGUGGCGCACCGUGGAUGUGGUGCGCCAUUACUAGCUAGUAAUGGCGCACCACUCCCACGGUGCGCCAUUACUAGUUUUGAAAAAAAAAUGAUUUUUUUUACUAAUGGCGCACCAACACAUGGUGCGUCAUUAGUAUAUAUUAAUGGCGCACCACAUGUCUGGUGCGCCAUUAGUGUCAUUUCCAUCUAUAGCCCUUUUCUUAGUAGUGUCGUACUAAACUAUGGUCACAUAUAUUUAGGAAAGAUGGUAAGAUUUCUGCUAUUUCUCCUCAGUAUAUCUUUUGCAUACAUUAUUUUUUAAGCUAAACUUCAUUACUAAGUAUGUUACUAUAUGAUGUUCUUCAACAGGGACUCCCGAUGAAUGUUGUGCCUGAUUGGAUCGAGACUAAAGGUACCAUGAAUAUUGUUAGCUUACGGCCAAGAUAUCCUACAAUGCACUUUAGUGCAUUCAGGAUUUCUAAUAGCGUGGAAUGCUUAAUAGUAAAAUACUAGAGCAAAAUUGUGAACAAUCGCAGAGAAGUAUUAGGGGCAGCAAUCAGAAGCGCAACACACGAUUAGGAGACAGGUUCAUCUGCAUGCUCCAAUAUGAUGAAUCAGGAAAGCUAUACAUGUUCUAUGCUAUUUUACCUGAGAGAGAGCAGCAGGAGUGAUUAGCUAGUUCAUGCUCUUAGUAUUUGACGUCUCAUGUCCGUGUUCUUCGUCCUGAACUUAAUCUCAAAGAGUCACUACAAGAAAUAUGUCAACUUAUGACCUUCUCUUAGUGACCCCAGCUGAAUUGGUCGUAAAUUCACGGCCAUUUCGCUUGGAAGUGCUCAAACCCUGAAAUUGCUUACACCAAAUGGUCACAAAGCAGAUAAGAGGCGCCAAUGACCUUAUUUCUACCUGAUUACGACCAAUAUAAAUGGUCAUGAUGUUGUGAACAUGGAUGCAUUGGUACUUAUUGCUCUGACGAGGCGCCACCUCAUCAAUUUUGCCUAUGUGUCAUAUCCAUGUGUCAAUUUUUGCCCUAGGUUGUGAAGCAACCUAUAUUUUUGUCAUUCCCAAAAUUCCCAAAAAAUUGAGCAUUCUUUACUAUCCAGAUAAUUACCUCAUGACAAUAUUCAACUCCAUUUGACUGGUAAAUCUUCCUCGGCAAAUUUCCAAAGUUUUUGUUCAGCUCGAACUGUUGUGAAGGAAGUACUGGCUAGGCAUAUCCUAAUGAGCUGAAUUUUUGCCACAUCCUCUAUAUUCCCAAAUCAUAGCUCUCCACAAAAUUUGAGCCCCAUCUAACAAUACAUGUGAGUGUGGCUUCAACAUUCCUAUUUGUGUCCAGUGUGGUACGUUGCAAAGCAAGUGACACCUAGGCUCCUCCAUUUGAGCUGCAAAUUUUCCAAGAUAGUGUCCUUAGUAGAUGAUCAUCCCCGGCCAAAACUCAGGCCCAUUGGCCAUGUGCAUUUCCCGUUCCACUAAUCAAACAGUUGGGUGUUUAUUUAUGUUUGAGCUCGGUUCAGUCUCCUCAUGAGAUUCUUCUAUUGCCUUCUUCUUCCUGACAUCUAUCAGGGGGGUGCCCAACCCACUAGACAUGCCUAGGCCGCCCGGAACGCGUGGCAACACCACGAUCACGCGGUGACCAUGCGGCGGGCAUGCGAGUCUACGCGCUUUGGAGUUGCGGCCCUGGGCCACCAUCCAAACCUCAACGUAUCGCCACCAAACCAUGUAUUUCUGAUUAAUAGAUACUUUUCUACCUAUAAAUGAUUUUUUGAAAAAAUAAAGAGCAAACUAUGAGGCAGCUGCAGUUCAAAUUUGUCCCGCUUCCUACUGAAUCAACAGAAAUUUGUCUUUUUCACCAGAGGUGGAUAAAAACUUUUGGCACCCAACCAUUUUGUCAAUUGUGCUUUAAACAUGGCCUAGUAUUUUAUAAAAUUGAUUUGGUCCAAUUUUGCAACAAAUAUAUGGUAGGUCCUUCACAAAAAAACUCAUUUUAGGCACUUGAAAAAUGGAAAAAUGACUUUUCAUCCAAAGAAAAUGAAAACUUCCUUAGGAAACAUUGUUUUCCAUUCUAAUAUGCACCCUUGUGCACAAUAUGAGAUCAUUUAAACAAACUAUGUCAUGAAUGUGGCCAUAAGAUUGAUCAUUUGGCUUGAAAGCCAUGAAUCUUCACGCAUGAUAACUCAUUUCAGAGAACACUUUUUUAAAAAUAAUUACCGUAUUACAAGUUUAUUAUUUUUUCGAAAAACUUGGUCACAUAUAAUGACACAAUGCGAAGGUUUUCCAUUUUUUUGAUUUUUUGUGAAUUUUUUAUAUCCGUUUCAAAAUGUGGUCAAAGCGGCGGGCUUGACCGUUCCUAGCUAGUGGUUGAAUCUUGGAAAACUUUUGAUAUUUCUCUGCUUAAAUAGAUACUUAUGUAUCUAGAAAUUAUUUUUGAAAAAAAUCAUGAGCAAACUAUGAGGCAGCUGCAGUUCAAACUUGACCCACUUCUUGCUGAAUUGGUGGAAAUUUGUCUUUUUCACGAGAGGUGAAUCAAACCUUCUCACACCCAACUAUUUGGUCAAUUGUACAUUAAAUAUGGUCUAAGGUUAUAUAAAAUUGAUUUGGUCCAAAUUUGCAACAAAUAUUUGCUAGGUUCUUCACAAAAAACUCAUUUGGGGCACUCGAAAAAUGGACAAGAGGUGGAUGAAAAACUUUUAAGAGGGAACUAUUUGGUCAAUUUGUACAUAAAAUACGGUCGAAUAUUUUUGAAAAUUGUUGCGGUCCAAUUUUGUAACUAAUAUUUGAUAGGUUUUUCACAUAGGUGAAAACAAAGAAGAGAAACAAAAAGAAAAAACAUAUUCACAUAAGUUUAAUUCUCAUUGGUGGAGAUGUUUGUGCCAUGGAUUGAUGACAUGGCACACAUCCAUCCAUCCAUCCACCCACCCGCAGCCCAAACCCUAACUCCACUCCUCUCCCCCGAUUCAGAUCCCCUCUCCCCUCUCCCCUCUCCCUCGAUUCAGAUCAGAUCCCCUCUCGCCUCUCCCCCGAUCCAGACCUCGCCGCCGCCACCUACCUCAAGCCCAUCCCGCCGCCCGCGCCCGCGCGCCACCACUCACUCCGCGACUUCCGGCGGCUGUCAGCACACUAUCUGCGCUCCAUCCUUCACUCGGAUCAGAUCCGGCGUGCGCGUCCCCAUCCUCCCUUCCUGCCACUCCUAACCUAGUCUAUCCCCUUCCUCCUCCAGCCCAACGACCACGGCGUCGCGGCUGGCUUGCUCGCCGGAGCGCGCGUGUGUGCUUCGAUGCAAGGCGCUUCGUCGAGCUGGCCGGACCGCGGCAAUCCCCGGAGCCGGAGCCGGAGCCAGCCGCGACGAGAUGUUGCUGCCUCCAUCGUCGACCUCACCAACCUCUCCCCCGCCACCUCCAUCGUCACCCGCCUCCUCAAGCCCAAGGCCAAGCGCAGGAGCCUCGACAGCAGCGCCAGCAGCAUCGGCUCCUCCACUGUCCCCCGCAUCCCGACCCUCUCCGUCUCCAUCUCCGGUGAGCAGAGCAGAGCACCCCCCUUCCCUCCCCUUGGCUUGCUUGCUUGCUUAUUCAGUAAGAGCUUGCUAGGGUUUCGCUGUCUGGAUCCGUGGAUGGAUCACUUACUUGUCUAGCUUAUUUGUGCUGGUGGACUGCUCCUGAAUUUCAUCCUAGCAGUAGCAGCAAACCAUUAUCCAUCCAUUCACUAAUUAAUAAUUUCAUACAUAACAAUCUGAUGAGCACAUGACUUGCCUCUAUCACAAUCCUAGCCCUCUACAGCUUACUACUUAAGUUUAGUUUAGUUUAGUUUGUGAUAAACUGAAGCACCCAUGCUCUGCUUCCAGGGGAGGGGAGCCAAUUGUAUCUGUCUCCCAACAUUAACUUUACCACAAGGAAUGCUCUGCUCCUCUAAAAUAUGUGUUUGCUUCACCUGACACUAAUAAGUAAUAUACUAAUUGUGCCUUCUGUUUGUUCCUCUACAUUUGGGGAAACUUUCCAUGCCAAAAGAAAUUUCAGGAAACGCUCAUAUGCUCUUCAAAGACCGACCAAACUACAAGCUCACGCUUGCUACUGAAAUGCACUAUGUCCCUUCCUAGUUAGUUUGCCCCAUUCUGGUAACAGGAGCGCUUUGAUUUGUAGCUGCUAUUGUCAUAUCUACUACUUGUGGUUCCCUCAAAUUAUCCAUAUCUACUAUUGUCAUAUCUCUAUUCACAUGUACAGUUGAACAUCUUUGUACUACUGUUGUUGUUGUAUGGCAAACACCAAAGGCAAAUCAUAUUUGUGAUGCAGUUUCUGUAACUUGGCAUUUCCACAUGGCUUGUUUAUAUUGGCAAUUAUACAUUGAUGAUGAUGUUUACCUGCACUGCUUAAUUCUGUGACACUAGCGAACUUAUGUGAAUAUACUACGCUUGCUGUUGAUCAUUUGGUGCACUAGUAUGCAGUUCUCAUUGUCAGUUCUUGUUUUCUUGAUUCAUUUAUACUACAUGAUUUAGGUCUUAUACUUUGCUAGUAGGUAGCAAAUUGUUGUUCUUUAUGGGUGUACCAUGCUAUUGAAAUUAAAGUAUGAACACAAAUGGAUGAGUUAUUUAUGCUUAUCACUUUCUUCUUUGUCGUUCACUUGCAGUGCCUAUUGUACUGAUAUGAAAGGUCAAGCAUGGAGGUUUCAAGAGCAUCCCUUUGUCCUGGUAAUGUUUUUUUGUUCCUUCUUAGUCUGCUGUAGUGGAUCCUCUAAAUCAAAUCACGUGUCCUUUGUUCAUCUUAAUUAGAACAUUUGGCCAUUUGCGAAUUAUGGUUUGUUAAUUGUAGAUUAUCUUUCUGGUGUGCCUGGCAGAACUCUGCAGUUUGCUUGCUUUGGGACAACACGAGGUAUGCUAUGUUUCCUCUCUUGUUAUUUACCUCUUCAGAUUUAGCACCCACCAUUAGUUUGCAGUAUAGUCUCUAUCAACCAAACUAAUUGAUUCACACAAACAUCCAGUAAAUGGCUGAACUGCAGCUCUCAAUGAUUCCUCUCCACUCUGAAAUGCAGAUCUGAUUCCUCUCAAUGUUGAGCGCCAAGGGUCUCAAUGUGGGGUGUGCUACUGCUAUGGUGCCCACAUUUGCUUCCAUUUCUGCUCACAAGCAUAUGCACCUGCACGUCUAGUCUGUGGUAAUUUGUUUUAGUCCGUGGUGGAUCUCUCCAUCUCUUGCAUGCUCUGGUUGAUCUUGGUUGGAACAUUUGGCCAUUUGCUAUUAUAGUUUGUAACUUGUAAAUUAUCUUCUUGUUCGCACUAGUCUAAUUGCCCUAUGUAUUACACAACUUAAUCGUCAACAUGAAUUGUUUGUGGAAAUGCUUGUGUCAUUGUCCAACUGUCUUAUAAGUGUAUUACUGUGGAUGAGGUGUGUUGUAUGUUACCAAUUGGCAUCUAAAUUAGUUCAUCUUCCCACUUCCCUACCUGCUAUAAUGUGCUUGCAAGCUCAAAUUUUGUGCUUCUAUUACUACCUGCUAUAAUGUGCUUGCGUGCUUAAAUUUUGUGCUUCUAUUGCUAUGGGCCGAUCUUUUGCGGUAAAAUAAUGAUGUUAGAUGUCUGUUGGUUGCUGUAUAUGGGGAAGACGAAUUGAAUCCUGCAGUGUACUUGUCAAUUCUAGCUUACAUUGGUGUUUUUCGAUCCUGUUCUAAUUAAUGUGUAUAGUUCAAGCCCUUCUUUCUAUCUAAAUGUGUGCACUGAUGUUCAG